UUACAUUUGAUAACUGAGUAUGACUUAGUUGGGGAAUGUCUCAAUGGCUCGCUGGUUUUAUUAAUUUUCUUAAAGGCUUGUCAGACUAGUAUAGAUGUUGGGAGUUGACUAAUAAGUCGUAUUUUGUUAUCUUUCUGAAAUUAUUUUAUUCUUGGAUGAUAAUUACUCUGUUGAUAUUUGAGGGUUAUUUAUGGAAACCCCGUUGAUUCGUGUUGAACUGAAUGAAAAUGACUCAAAGGGUUAGCUUGGGGCUACUCGUAGCCUCAAGCACCGUGUGACGCUCCGAAACCCAUUUUCAGGGCGUUAUAGGACCCUAACCCCAAGCCAAUUCAUUUGGCGAGGCACUUCGACCUCAUGAGAUCUCAUUAUGCAAAGGACUUUAACCACAAGCGAUUCCAUUAGGUAAGAGACUUUGACCUCAAUCCAUCACGACUCUCAUUAGUCGACAUUGGGACUCUUAACUCUUUGUCCAUGCAUCCAAAUACAUUCAAUUCUACACAUAAGAACUUUAACCUAUUUAGCCAAUUCAACACCAUUGUGACCACAUGGUUUUCAUGCGAUCCUUCAUUACUCAACCAAUUUAAUAGACUAAUGCCUUGAUUUUCAUCUCAUCAUACAAUUCAAACUAUAGUCCUCAAGACCCUUACAAGCCAUUCACACUUUAUUAGCAAUUCUAUACCACAAUUAAGUUCAACACGCAAUUCAAGUUCAUUUUCAUGUUAGGGACUUUAACCUCCUUCUCAUUCAUUAAGCCAUCAAGGUCAUCAAUUACACAAUGCAUAGCUCAUUUUACCUUCACAAUAUCAUUUAUCAAGCAUUCUUACAUAUUGGGCUAUUGCCCUAGUUCAAAGCAUCAUCGUUAUGUAACUAGACAUCUCACUUAGAUAUUUUCAUAAACACCUUGUGUACAUGAAUUUACCAAGGCCAAUUUCAUGGUAGAAACCAUCAAGACUAGGGUUACUCAAGACCCACAUGUUAGACCACAUAUAACAAGCAUUCACGACUGCAAACUACCAUCAAUAAACAUAAGUCUAAGCAAGAAUCAUCAUUAUUCAUCUUUAGACAACAAAACCCUUUUCAUUUGAUUUCAAAACCACCAUGUACAUUUACUAAUCCAAGUGUAAAAUAAAUGGGUUUAGGGUUAUUUAGUAAAGGUAAGAGGUACAUGCCUUAAACAAGAUGAAUCACCAAGAAUAUUGACUCCUCUUUUCCCAUGAACACCACUCUUGAGACCCUAACCUCCAAUUCUUCAAAGAUGAGCUUGAGAGAGUAUUUAGGGUGUUUAAUCUAUCAAAAUGGAUGUUUAGGAGGCUACACACACUUAUAUAGUGAGAGGACUUACAGUUUUUAAACAUGGGAAAUGACCACAAGGCCCUUAGUUAAAAGCUGAAAAUUAAACCCAUCUAGGGGUACGACUCACUAAAGUAGUCGUACCCUAGGGUAGAAGUGGUACCCUGACUCGUACCCUAGGAUUCUCCUAGGUCACACGCAUUGUUAGUUAUACGACCAUACAACUUUGAGUCAUAUCCAAAAGGUACCACUCAACCCUAGCUUGUAUCCACCAACCGUACCCAAAACAAUUCACUUCCAAACUCAUGACUCCCCUAUAUGAUUCCCUUAGAUACGACUCGUACCCUUAGGUACAAUUGAGGGAAGGGUUUUACGUAUCGAGGAUAGUGAGUGACUCUCACUACACUGCCUAGGAUACGAGAAGGAAGGUGAAGAACGAUAUGGCUCGUAUCCAAGGUGUACAACUCAAGCCCCUAGUCGUACCCACCCCAAUGACACCAAAAGAUGAAGUUUUUCAAUGGUUCUAAGUCAAGGUGUUUCAAUAACCAUGACAACCAAACCUUACCAUUUAACCAUUUCAAACCAUUUAAAUCAUUUAUACCAUUUAGGGUUCCAUUACCAAACCAUACCAUGCAGUUCCAUUAAAAGUCCAAUAAUAUAGUAAAAGCACUAUCAUAGGCAUUUUAUCAAACAUGUUGGGGGCAUCAUAUUUCCAAAACCAAUUACCAAUUAACCAUUCUCAUGCAAACAAUUGUCCAAACCACCAUUAAAGCAUAUAAUUUCAUAAUUAAAACAUGGGAAAAUCAUAACCAAACAUUUAAUAUCCCAAUAUAUAUUUGAAAACCCCAAAACCACACAAUAAUCAUGCCAUGAAAACAUUGUAUCAAAAAUUCCUCUAGUUGGAACUAAUAAUGAAGGAGGAGUACAUGCCUUAGAUUACGAAGAUGAUGGAGAGACAUCACCUGUACAAGCCCUAAAUUGAUCCUCUAAAUGAAACCCUAGUCUUCCUUUACCCAAGAGCCUAAGAGAAAGUUAGAGAGAGUUUCUAAGUAUUUUAGAAUAGAAUAAUAAGGUGAAUAAUGUCCCAAUAGUGAUAUAAGUCGUGGGGCCUUAAGAGGUUNNNNNNNNNNNNNNNNNNNNNNNNNNNNNNNNNNNNNNNNNNNNNNNNNNNNNUGACUCCCUCAUACCAGUCGUACCCUUCCAUACGAGUUGUACCCAUCACUUGUACCUUAGGCCUCCCACUUAGACCCAAUACUGUUGAUCAUACGACUUACCCAAACCAAGUCAUACCCAACCAUACGAUCAGUACCCCUAAAUCGUAUCCCUGGCAAAAUAAAAUCAAAUAAAGUUUGAACACUAUCUACCAUACGAGUCAAUGGUACGACCGUACCCUAUCUUACUGCUCAUGGUGAGCCACUCGUACUCAGAUCCAAGUUAAGUUACUAAGUCUUAGAUUAAAUGAAGGAGAAACCCCCAUACAACUCGUCACCAAUCAUACGACUCGUACCCACCAAGUCAUACCCAUUCCAGAAACCAAUCCAACCCACCAACCAACGCUCGUUAGCAUACGAUCAAGAGCAUACCAACCAUUCCCCAUCAUACGACUGGUACCCACAAGUCGUAUGAUAUCUAGAAUACAGAAAUCCAAGAAAUUUUCUAAGGGUCCAAACCCCACGGUGUUUCACACUCGUACCCUAUCCUCACGACUCUUAGUGAGCCACUUGUACUCAAAGUCAAGUCAAGUUACUAAGUUUCAGAUCAAGUAAAGGAUCAACCCAACGACCCGUCACCAAAUUCUACGACCCGUACCCACCAAGUUAUAUCCACAACAGAAAACUAACCAUCACCCACUGGACACCUUACGAGUUGGGUCACCUGACCGGUACCUACAUCAUACGACUCGUAUCCGCACCUGUAAGAAGUUUAGGGUGUUCAACACAUACCAAAUCGAGCCAUGUCUGCAUCAAGGAAUUUGUCAUUUGAAAAUUGAAUUCAGAAAUGGACUUUUAAAUUUGCAAAAAAAAAAAUGAGCAGUCAUAUAAGCAUCUAUAAUUAUUUUAUUUUCUUCUAACUUCGUAUUUUGUGGUGGUAUUAACUUCAAAGGGUCCAAACCACUGGUCAGAAGAAUGAGGAAAACAAAAACGAUUAAAGGAGAUUUACAACGAUGAAGAUUUAUUUGAGGUGCGUUGAGUUAAGCUAUAACCGAUCUGACUUGGAUCUGUAAAUAUUCCUCAUGCUCAUGAGCCACAGAUCUGAAGUCGAUCGGUUGAUGGAGCAUAAAAGACUAAAUCGAAGAUGAGACAUGAUUGUUGAGCUGCAAAUGUUAGGCUGCUGAGCUAAAGAAAACCAAUAGCACAACGAGAAACCAUGGAAAUUCAAGAGAAAAAACAAAAUUGGAGUUGUGACCAAAAAGUAUCGAGAAGACUCCACAGACAUCCAUCAGAUAUUUCCAAAUUAGUUUUAUGAUAUCUAUCAGAUUUCCACAUAGUACAUUUCUCUUGUUUUGUUUUUUUGUUUGUCUUUUCGGGCUAGGUCACUUUUGUACCUAGCCCAUUUAUGUACAUAUUAAAUUUGGAGAAUGGAUAGAAACGGCAAUUCAAAUCAAAUUAUACAAAAAUGAUCAUAAAAUUUAAAUUUCACUUUUUAAUUAUUUUAAUUUAAUAAUUUAUUUUAUACCGUUUCUACACACUUUUUAUACAUAUCUUAUACCAAUAAAUAUUCUAUACAAAAUUAUAUAGUUUCGGCACAUAAUUUUUACAAUAAUUGUACUUUUUUUAACAUAUUUUAUGCAACAAUUAUAUGAUUUUUAAGCCCUUUUUAUAUAUUUUUUAUAUAUAUAUUUUAUACAUAUACAUAUUUGAUAGAACUAUACAAUUUCUAUGUAUAUAUCUUAUAUAGAUACAUAUUCUAUAUAACAAUUAUACCGUUUUUAUAUAAUUAUAUUUAAUUAUUAUUUUUCAAUAACUAAAAAAACAUAAUAUUUUUCAGUUAAAAAAUUUAUAGCAAACAAAAACUGAAAUAUUUUUAAAUAGGUCGAAUGGCCCAAGUUGAAAACUGUAUCAGUAUUGUGUAUGAACUAUAUCAAUAUGGUAUAUAAACUGUAUCUGAACUACAUGGUCUAAAAAGAUCCAAAUUAAAAAAUUGAUAUAAAGUGAAAAUAAUAUAGCUGAAUGGCUAUUUUUUGAAAAAAUGUCAAACUUGGGCUAUUUUUUUUAAAAAAUUAAAAAUUACACAAAUAUACAACUUAUGUUUUCAAUAUUACAAAAAAUUUCAACUCCCUAAACAUAUUACAAAAAUCAUAACAUAGACACAGAAUGUCAUGUAUAUGUUGGCUAUGUUAUGUAUAUUAAUAGGGAGAGAGAAUAAAAUAAUUAAAAAAGAGAGAGUAUAAUUUCUUCCAAAAGAGUUGAUAUUUAUGUUAUUUGUCUUUUUUCCAUUGGAUUUCUGAUUUUUUUGUUGCAAACGCAUUAAGCCCGUUCUUAAUUUAAAAAAAAAUGAUUCACAAGGGCUUUAUGUGUAUAGCUCUCUUUUCUUUCUAAAGCAAACAACAACAACAGUCCCAGUGUAUUCCCACAAAAUAAGGUCUGGGGAGGGUAAAAUAUACGCAGUCCAUACUGCUACCUCCGAGGAAGUAGAGAAGUUGUUUUCAAUAAACCCCCAACUCAAGAUAUAGAAUAAUAUACCAAGACCGUAAUAAAAUAUAAAACUGAAUGGGUAGCAUAACAAAAUAAAAGAUAAGAAAUAAUAACACUAGAUAUCCGAGAAAAGGAAAUAAGAGAACAACAAACAAUACGUAAGAAGAAAUAAGGAAAACGGAUACCCAUGUCGUAGUCACACACAUUCACAGACCUAAGACACCUAUCACACCCCAAACUCUCCUAACACCUAGCCACAACCCACCCACUCACACUAGCCUUCUACCCUAAUCCGCGACCUCCAUAUCUUUCUGUGUAGGAUCAUGUCCUCAGUAAGCUAAAACAGCUCCAUGUCCUGCCAAAUUACCUCCCUCCAGUAUUUCUUUAGCCUACCUCUACUCAUCCUGAAGUCAACCAAAGCUAGCCUCUCGCACCUCCGAACUGGGGCAUCCAUGCCCCUCCUCAUCACAUGCUCAAACCAUCUCAACCUUCCUUCUCGCACCUUAUCCUCCACCGAAGCCACUUUCACCUUCUCCCGGAUAGUCUCAUUCCUAACUUUAUCCCCUCUAGUAAGGCCACACAUCCAGAGCAACAUUCUCAUUUCCGCCACCUUCAAUCUUUGAAUAUGUGAUUUCUUGACUGGCCAACACUCCGCUCCAUACAACAUUGCCAAAUGGACUGCCACUCUGUAGAAUUUUCCUUUGAGCUUAAGGGGUACCUUCUUAUCACACAACACUCCCAGGCGAGCCUCCAUUUCAUCCAGCCUACUCCAAUACGUAUAGAGACAUCCUCAUCAAUCUCGUCAUUCCCCUGAAUCAUAGACCCAAAAUACUUAAAACUAUCCUUCUUACAAACAUCCUGAAAAUCCAACCUCACCACCACACCGUCCUCCAUACAUGAGUCACUAAACUUGCAUUACAAAUACCCUAUCUUAGACCUACUCAACCUGAACCCCUUAGAUUCAAGGUUGCCUCCAAACCUCCAAAGUUUUAACUCUUGACUAUCAUUAUCAUUAUGACUCCAAUCGUAAAUACUGUAAUUUGGUUUUCAGCUUCUAGGUCAUAUUUAUUAUCUUUCUUGCGAACAAAGCUAGUCGUCAUUAUUAAGGGAAUCUUAAGUUUAAAGACUGAUCAAACGAAAUUCAAUUUUCUUUCAUCAGAUAUAUACAAUGAAGGGAAAAUAUUCACUUAGUUUAGGAAGUGCACAACUUUCAAAUAUCACAAUGGUGAAAGCUCGAAUAUUCCGGAAUUUCUGAAUUUGGUUCAUCUCAAUUGCACUAAAAAAUUUAAUACUCGUUAACUAAAUCCAGCUUGGACUUGGACUAUGAUUUAUGAAAGAAGCUAAUAACAUUCCCAGUUUGUUAUGCCCCCCCCCCCCCCCCCCCCCCCCCCCCCCUUCCCCUUCUUCCUUCAUCUCAUCAUGUCAUCUUUUAAAUUUCUUUUUAUCCAUACAAAGUUACAACUGCUAUACUUUAUUGGAAUGGUGAAGUUUGAACCAACUUGGAUACACAAUGUGGCAGCUCUCUUACCAUCAUCAAAUGGACUACUUUAGAACCCAAAGAAAGUCACGUUCAUACUGAGCAAACUACACGAUCAUAUAAUGUCAAAUAAUUGGGAAAGGAAAGAAGUCCCAUCGGUAUUCCUGCUAAAUACUCAUCAUACUUGCUAAAUAGAAUAUGAAGUCCAGAAUAGCUGCAGAACUUUUCCAAAAAAGUCGCAGCUAUAGGUGCAACAAACAGAAAUGGUCUCACGCUGAACUGCCCAUUUAACAGAGGCAAAAGUAGAGACGAAAUUACUACUUUUAUUGGCAUUGUUAAUUUUCUGUAUACUGCCGAAUGAAAUGCUGGCAGGCGUUUUCAAAUUAACAUGCUUGAUCUCAUGGUCUUGUUACUACAAUUCCUCUAUUUGAUCACAUCCUUUCUGAAUUAGAAGUAGCCGGCAAGCUACUGCGCGCUCUUCCAACCCACCUUCUUUAUACGCUUUUAGAAGUCUAUUGCCGCUGGAGCUAUCAAAAUCUGCAGCUGCAGAUAGCUUCCACUGGUCAAUAAUUUCUCCAACUUCAUUCAUAUGCCCAAGCAUGAGAUAUGAUGAGAGUAUGCAGACAUAAUUUCUGCUAGACAUUUUUUGAUUGGUCAUUCUUAAGGAUUUCCAAAUUUGAUCGAGCUUGUCUUUAUUUCCCAAUGCACCAUAGAGAAUAAUAAGGAAGUCAUAGGAUAUCCACUCUCUUUGUGUGAUACCUUUCUCACACUCAACCACAGAGUUCAACCCUGAGUUUACAAGGUUAGCUGAGGUGAUAUAUAUGUAAACAAGGUUAAUGUAUCUUUUCCACUGUUCACCAUAGUCAGAGCCAAGACUUAUUUCAUAAAGAAUCCGUCUAACCUCAUCAAUCUUUAGAGUUGCAGCACAUGAACUUACCCACAGAUUGUAUGUAAAUAGGUCAGGUGAGACCUUGUGAAGUUUCAUCUCCUCAACAAUAAGAGGUACUUUCCCCAGCAGUCCGACAGACAUGUACAAAGUCAUCAUUUCAUUAUAAGUAACAGUAUUCAGAGAAAGAUUUGCUUCUUUCAUUCUCUCAUAGAGAUCCUCAGCUUUCUCAGUCAGUCUUAAACUGGCGUAGGAGUGGAGGAGAGCAGUAUAUGUUUCAGUGGUUUUUGCAGUAGAAGGCAGUCCUUCAAAAUAACGUUCAGCAGAAUCAAUUCCAAAAACUUUGGUGAUCAAGUCAAUGCGGGUAGCAUAGUCAGAGUCCAACGCUUCAUCCUGAUUGUGGUAAACCAGCCAUUCUGAGAUCUGCAUGCUAUAGGAUGCUAAUCAGUACUUAUGCAACUAUUACAGAAUUACAAUUAUAUUAAACCUUUAUAUUUUUUAGAUUGAAACAACAUUUAUAUUAAACUAAGCAAUUCUCGUUUAGUGUCUGGAUUUUGCAUGGGAUAAAAGUGGAUUAAGAAUAUGUAAGUGUCUUGUCUCAAGAGCAUGGAAUUGGAUGGUGAAGCGGGGUAUGAUCUCCUUCAAUGAAAAUAAAAGUUAUGGGCACAGAGGUCUAAAACUUGGAAUUGGAUCGUGGAAGGGACUGUAGUCCUCUUUGUGAAUGAAAUAAAAGCUACAUCAUGCAGUAACGUGGUGAUUUUUCCGUUAGAUCAUUCUCUCUCUUCCUCUUCAAAACAACACCACUAACCAGCUCUUGCCCACCAUCCAACCCCUUGUUGCUAUCCACAAGCCGUAGCAUGCUCUACUACCCAUUACCCAAUAUUCCCAACUUCAAUGAAUAAAACUUGUAUGACAUUCAUGGGGAGUUGAUCAGUUCGAGAGAAAUAAUGACUAGAAUUAAAAAAUGUAGUUUAGAUAAAGGAAGAAAGUUUAUCUCCCCGUAUUUGUGAGUUUGGUUGGUUCUUCCAGAGGCAAUUCAUGAUAGUUUCAGAUAACGAUUCCGACCAGCAUAAUGAAGGAGUGCAGUUGGGAGAAGGGUAUUGUCGACUGCUAUUCUAUCAGUUCUUUUUGAAUUCUGGGUUUUAGGUUUACAAAGGAGAUGAAACAAGCAUACAAAACUUUAAGCAGAUGUAGAGUCAUACCCUUCAUCUCAUGAACUCAAUACAGAACACAAGGAAUCUCAUCUACAAUAUUAUUCACAUAUUCUUCAACAGUCCUCUUAAAUCCAGUAACUCUAAAAAACUAGUCCUGAUCCAUUCGCAGUGCAACGCUACCUAAUACUAUUGGAGAAACAAAUGUCCCCAAAGGGUUAUAUUUCUUGAAACUGGUUUAGUUUACAUGCACGUCAAAAUGCAUAUAGAACAUUAGGCAGAAUUCAAGUCUGGGUAGUUUGUGCAGCCACGAUAUGACUACUUUCAGUAGCUAUACAGCGAGUGAUUGCAAAGCACAACAACAUUCUCCCACUGACAAUUUCAUCACAGCUAAAUGGCUAAAAUGUUGUUUUAGAUAUCAUCAUUGAAUUUGAAAACAUAAUGAUCCUUUCUUUCAAAAAUAAUAACAAAAUAGAACUUAAUGUUCUCUAUCUUCUGGCCAAUCAAAAAGACAUCGCUUGGAAAUUUCAAGUUAACAAAAUUGUAUUAUAACAUUAUUGUCUGUAUAGAAAUCUAGACACAACAUAGUUACUUAUAGGAGUUCAUGAUGGAAGGGGAAAAACCUCUGAACUAGCUUAGAAUCCCUAACAUCAGAACAUAAGCAAAAACGGUAGAGAUUAAGAAAGAAGAAACUAAGAAUAUGCCAUGCACAUAUCCAAAUAGACAAAUUAAAGGAAAAAAGCUCUGAACUAGCUUUGGUAGUUCUUAAGUUAACCAGUUUUGACUCGUUAAUAUUUGUCAUUAAAUGGUAUGGACUGCGUACAUCUUACCCUCCCCAGACCUCACUAUGUGGGAAUACACUGGGUUUGUUGUUGUUGUUGUAAAUGUGGACGUAAACUCACAAAGAAAGUAUAAAUCACUGAUCGACAGGCCUAUAGAUGAAUCUGACUUUUUGAACUAAAACUAGGAAAGUUGUGCCAGUUCUCAUCCAAAGUAGCUAUUUCAUUGCUUUGCUGAGCCAAUUGCAAUCAACAUUGGGUAUUCAUCGAAGCAAUUCAUGGAGCAGUUGCAGCUUUCCAAGGACAUGACCUUGGAUAGGAAGGUGUUGAGGACACAAAUUAGGAUAGAAGGUUUAGCAGGUAGGAGUGUGUUGUCUUGUUGCCCUUACUAGUAGUCAUAGGACUAUUCAUUUAGUUUCUUGUUCUUUGAUUUUUGUUACUAUCUAUUGUUUCGUGUAGUUUGAUUGUAGUACUUCCAUUACUUCUUUUUGUAGACUGUUUGUGCCUUGAGCUUGGGUCUCAGAAACAACCUCUAUACCUCAUCUUUGAGGUAGAGGUAAGGUCUGCAUAUACUCUACCCUCCCAAGACUCCACUUUGUGAUACUGCACUAAGUAUGUUGUAGUUGGUAUCAGAACCUCAUUAAGAAACACUGGGACAGAAAGGUGAGUUUCCAUGCGUCUUUCCGACCUGAGACUCCCCGGGUCUGAUUUGCGUCACUUCACUUUUCGGUGUGUGUUAUGCGAAAACCAACACAACCAAUGGGUCCAGCAGGUGUCGGCAACCAAACCCCAGAAGAAUAUCCGACAGAAACCCACUCACGCGGUUGUCAUAGUUCUGGAGUCGCAACGCAUCUAUCACACACGCCUAUUGUGUGAGGCUGUUUCCGGACAGCUUUCAAGAAUUUUUUUUCUCUCAAGGUCACACAGUGAUUCCGAACCUACCCUGCUGAUCAACUCCCUAUCCUGCCAUUCUCUGUAAGCAGAUUGAGUUUUCUGGUGAAGUUUUUGGCUUCUUCAACCACUUUUUCAGUUAUUUCCUUUAUAAUUGAGGUUGCCUAGCAGUUCUUGACAGUCAUCUGGAAAUUUCAAUCAUUGACUCUGGGUUCCAAUGCAGUCAGAUUCACUUUUCUGGAAAGAUCUGUGUUUUGCAGUGGAAUCUCAGAUUUUUAUUUGCAUUGUGGACCUCGACUAAGGUGCUUGCAGCCCUCCUCAUUAUUUCCAGGCUUUUACAGAAACUACCACUCAAUUCCAGCAGUCUCGUGAGUUAUAUUUUGUGAUUACUUGCAUAGAACUCUCUUCAAUCCAACCAUGUCUCUUGGAUUAGGUGUUUUUACUUCUAAAAAUACGAGAAUGGAAAUUCAAGUCUUAUGAUUAGCUUAGAAUCCUUUAUGGGAAGAUCAAAAAAUCAAAAAUUCCAGUCUAUCAAGAAUGGGAAGAUCAAAAAAUUGAAAAUGAAGAAUAGACAAGAGGAGGUCGUUUUGGAAGAUGUCACCCUAAGUGUAGUUAUUGUAAUAGGUUUGGAUACCACUCAUGAAGUAUGUUAUUCCCUGCAUGGUCAGCCACCCAAGAAUACUCACGUCGCCCAGACUAACACUACAGGUAAUCAAGGAGUUUAUUUAUUUGAAGGGAAUAUGAUGAGUUCCUUCAAUAUUGAGCAAGUAGAAAUCUCUACAAGUAGCCUCAGUUACUUAGCCUGAUACUUUAGUUGUUGGUGUUUCACAGUCUAAUAUCCCUGGACCAUGGGUCAUGGAAUCUGGUCUGAUACUUUAGUUGUUGGUGUUUCACAGUCUAAAAUCCCUGGACCAUGGGUCAUGGAAUCUGGUACCUCUGAUCAUAACACUGGUUAUAAAUCACUUCUAUCAAAAAUUGUUUAUUCACAGUCCCGACCCACCCACCUUCGCGGUCACUUAAGUCAAUGUGAUCCAAACAAAAGCGGAUGGAGUUGGACAAGCUAACCCCCUAUCUAUCACUCUAAACUUGAUUCUUUAUCUCCCUAGUUGUCUUUUGAAUCUUGCAUCUAUCAAUCAUUUGACUCGCGCCCUAAAUUGUGUCGCAAUAUUUGUUGAUGAUUCUUUUGUAAUACAGAGCCGUAGUACAGGACGGCGCAACACUUCAAGGCCUUUACUACCUUACGUCUCCUAAUUCCUAUUGUCUGAGCAACUGUUUGAUCCAAAGUAGCUUACAAGUUGUGAUACGGGUGUAGCAAGCUGUCCAACAAGUUCACGACCAUUCCCACGUAGCCAAGCUAGGGAGUUACAAAAACUCCAAGCCUUGUUCAUGCAAACGGCCGUGUGUGAGUUGGUGAUUGAUCCACCUACUGGUCUAAAUGUUUUUAAGUGUGAAGAGGAACCUUGAAGUGUAAUAAACUUACACUCCAAGGCCACCCCAUAGCAAGGGCAAACUGGUCAUUUUCUCCUUUAUUUAUGGUGUAAUAUAAAUAGAUGAUAUUAGGAUUAUUUGGCAGCUGGUUCUUUCAUACUAUUUUGAGACAUAAACACUUGUAAUAUUGAGGAACUUCUCUCUCUUCCAUUGGAGAAGCCCCAAAUCUGAAAGCUCACAAGUAGAGAGAUACUUGUGUUGUAUCUUGGCUAGAAACAAGGAUCUUAAGGUCAUAGAGUUCCUCUUGGUCCAAAUAAGAACUUGGUGUUAAUAUUCUUUAGUCUUAGGGUCCUCUCUUGUUGUUAGGGUUCUUAGGCUCUUGAAUAUUACAUGCCAAGUUACUAUCUUCUUGUAAUCUUGUUAAGAAUGUGUUUUGUAAUCUUGAAAUCUAGUGAAGCCGUGUAGGGCUCUUUCGAUUCACUAGCACCUUGUUGACUUGCUCGUUCUUGUUGAAAACUUCAUCAUCUUGUUCUAAAAACGUGAUUCUUAAAGUCUAGUGAAGCCGUGUGUGGCCUAUUUCAAUUCACUAGCACUUGUUGUUCAACUUGUUGUUCUUGUGUUAGUUUGUUCAUCUUCUUCUUGUUGUUGGAUUCUUGCAUUGUGGACUUGAUAGUUCAUCAAGUUGCUACAGUCAUUGUCUGAUAUUCUGCUUCUACACUUGAUCAAGCAACCACAUUCUAUCUCUUACUCUUCAAGGAUAUCAAAUUACCUACUAAAACACAAUACCCAGAGGUAGAACAACUAUCAAAAGGCAAUCAUGCCCAAUCAACAUCUAUAUAUCCUAUGAUCUCCUCAUUGCCUCGAAUCUCGAUCCUGAAUGCGGACGACAACAAUGACUACCACAAAGAGACUUGUACAUUGACUUCAGUUAUGUUUGUUCAUGUAGAUUUAUUUCACACUCAUGAACUCCUACAGAUUAUCCGUUUAUGCUAAUAAUUAUUCAAUUCCAUGAGCUCUAUGAAUUUUUAUGCAAAGCAUGAUUUAUGAAAAAUAUGAUUUUCCUUCAAAAGAGGCUUUGAUGAUUCCUUACAAAAGCAAAACCUAUAUGAUUUAAGUCAAAGUUCCAUGACAUGAUUUUCUUACAACUUAUGAUUCUGAGACUCUUAUUUAAAUUAAGGCAAGGGUUCUUAAUCGAGCUCCCUAUAUUAAUUAGGGCAAGGGUGCUCAGUCGAGCCCCCCAUUGAAAUUGGAGCUAGGCUCAGUCAAGCCCCAUUUAACUUGGGUCAAGGGUGCUCAGUCAAGCCCCCUAGUCCAUUGGGGCCAGGUUGCUUAAUGAUAAUAUCAUUUACACGUGUAUGUAUGUUGGUUAAUCUAAGGAACUCCCUUAACGAUAGAAAUGGAUUAUGAAAGACACACAUUAAUGAUUUUCAGACUUCAUCUAUAAUUCUAAGCAUGAUAUGACUAUGUACUCUUAGUUAUCCUUUUUAUUCAGUUAUGUUUCAUGCCUCCUCUACUUUAUAUACAGCACAAUUUCAUAUGUACUUACAUCUCUUUUUUCGAGGCAUUGCAUAUUGAAUGAUGCGGACUCAGGUACUCCGAAUGAACGAGCCGUUAAGUUCAAUGUUUGAGCUAUCGAUGAGCUCCUAUCGUUCUUGAUAAUUAGUCAAUUUCAGUUUGUUCAAUCUUAUUUGUCAUACCAAGGGCUUAUCAAGGUAAACAGAAUUCAGUCAUGUUAGAGGCUUCCUAGAUAGUCAGUUAUUAUGCUCUUUAUGUCAAGUAUUUCAACUUUAACCUUGGAUGUCGUUAUGUUUUGAAACCUAAACAAUUAAGUUAUGAAAAGUUUUUUGUGGAAUUAUCCUCUUUAUGAAUAAUGAAUUUCCACAAGUUUGUUUUUGAACUACGAAUUUCUCAAGCACCUUUGAACUAGUACUCUCGGUGACCUCUUCCAUUUCAGUCACUAUAUUUCAAUUUGUGUUAGUCUCCAUUUGCUUUUAAAGAGUGGAAUUAAUAUUGAAGAUUCAUAGAGCCGACACCAACAAGAUUUGGAUUGAGAAGUAGUAUUAAUUGAUCACUACACCUCAUUAUCUAUCAUGCAUUCUCCUAGACGACUGAAUAUAAAUAUCCGAAAUGUCUGCAUUUUGGCACCGCAAUUCCUAAUUUUCCUAUCAAAACUCUAGAAGGAUUUAUUGCUACAAUACUUAGUUUUGAUGAGUUUCUCAUAUGAUGCUAACUGUGUUUGAUGAAAUCCUUGGACGAAAUAAGCUUAUUUACCAGUAGUUUCCUUUUCAACCUAGACUGGAAAAAAAAAAAAGCAGAUGGAGGAACAACAAACCUCGAGGGCGUGCUUGAAUCUUCGUGAUUUCUGAAGCUCUUUGGAGAUGUGACGGAGGUCGGAGAUGGAUACUUGUCGACCUUCACCGACCCAUCUUUGAAGCACGUUGGUGGCGCUUCUUUUGGGUAGUCUAACACUGAAGAUUCUGCUCUUCAAAUCAUCUACGGUUUCGUCCUUUUCUUCCACAGCAGAAUCCGGUGAGUCUUCAUACACAACUUCAGUUGUUGUAGUGAAGGAUCUAAAUAGACUCCUUUCUCGGCCACGAACAUUUCUGAAUUCCGUACAAAAAGAAAAAGAAAAUAGCAACUAUAACAAGAAUUGCACAACAGAGGUGUAGAGAGAUGGAGAAAAGAAGAGCAUGGAGGUUUUAAUACCUUGUGAGAGUGAGGAAAAUAGAUCGAGCAGCCAUGGGAAGUAGAGAUGAGUUGUGCGACGAACCCUCUCAAAGCUUUGUUUUUUUUUUUUUCGGUUUCCCAAUAUCUAACAGCUGGCAGUGUGAAACUAAUACUGGUUAAUUUUUCGCUGCUGAGCAGAAUUUUUUUUCAUUCACCGGACGUGAAAAUCGACCCCUAACCUCUUGCUUAACUUAAGGGGUGAGGUGCUGAAGCACACAUCAACCCUUAUGGUUCUCUCAAAGCUCUUGUUUUAUUUGGGGCCAAAGCAACUCCAAAUCUUUAUUUUUUAAAAAUUGAUGGUAGAGAAUUAUAAUGUAGGGAAUCAAACACUCGCUAAUAAGGUGGAAGUUCAGGUAACUAACCAAUUAAACUAUUAAAUUCCCCUCCAAAUCUUAAUUUAAAAACAGAAAAACAAACAAAUAUGAACUCUCAGAAAUUACCUUAAAGUAAUUUUCGGUCAUACAUAAUACACUUGUAUAUUAUAUAUUAUACAUAUUUAUAUUACUACUAUAUAAGUGAUGUUUGGGUAACUAGCAAAGGUAUUUUCGUGAAUAACAUCAACACCAAGGAUGUUUUCAUAACUAACACCUAUAAUCAAUAAUGAUGCUUCUGUGGUAAUUACGCUUUCAUGUGUCUUUUUUCUUUACUUUUUAACUUUCCCAAUAAUUUUUCCAAAAUCUCUCUCUCAUGUCCAUUUUCUCUUUUGUUUUUCCUUUCACAAAUUUCAGUCCCUACGCACCUUCACACCAAAACACAAGCUUCAAACAAAAUCUGUUCGCACUUGCUAAAAAACUUAAUUAAAAUCGCCGUAAAUUUUGUGUAUAUAUAAUUGUAGUAAGGUUUAUUUUGGAAAAAUAACCCAAAAAACGAUUGCGAUAUUAAUCUUCCAAGUGGCUGGUAUAGUAUUCUUUCUCUUUUAUUUUCUAUGUUUUCUAUAUAUUUGCGAUAAAUUUAUUAUUUUUUUGAAGCUCAAAUUGUUUAUCAGCUGGGUUAACUUUUAUUUUUAUUGAUUUUCUAAUCUUUCAUGUAUUGAGUGGUUAUUUGUUCUUUCUUUUAGUUUUUAUGAAAAAGGUUUUACUUUGCUGCAAAAAAAUUGUAAUAUCUCUCUGUAUGUUGUAUUAUGUAUCUAGAAUUGAAUCUAUCGUUGAUUCUGAUUUGCAUAUCAAAAAUGGAAACAAAAUGCUUAAAAAAGCUUUUAUAAAUGGCAUUUGUUUGAGUUUAAAAAUGGAAUCUUGGUGAACUAAUCUCCCGCCGACACAACCCAUCAUAGGGCUUGUUGUAAUGGGCGUCCCAAGUCCGUCCAGCACUGGAGACUAUUCCUGUUACCCAACCCAACCUCCAGCCGUCUUUCUUGAGUUGGUUGAAUUUCGAGCAUGUAACAAAAUAGUGUAACAGCUCACACAAUGACUUUGGGAUAAGAUCACAACCGUGACCAACCCAACUGAGUUUAACCAUCUUAUACCAAUAAUCCAACCAUACCAAACCAUACCAAGACAAGGGUCAUAAACCAGGCCAGGACAUUCCAAACAUAAUAUAAUUAAUCCCAAAAUGAAGUAGGAUAGAACAACCAACAAUAUCAUCCAAUGAUGUCAGCCCUUUAGCUUAUUCCAAUGCCAAGGCCAACACCAAUACCGAUCCUGCCCAUUCCAACCCAUAGAAGUACCACAAAGCCUCUAACCAACAUAGUAAUAAAAUUCGAUUGGGACAUGCCCCCAACCAUAGACAAAACCAAUAUCCAAAAUAAAACUAAAAUGUUUAGAAAUAUUCAUAACAUGAAAUGGAGCCUUUCGAAAGGAUGGAAGCUCACCACUUCAGUCCAGAUGUUGUCCUCGAGUCAAUCACUAUGUAGAAGAAGUAGAACGACUGGUCUCUGCUGCAUGGGUAUACAGCCGCCAGUAGACAGGGUUAGGGAGUGAUCGCUAGCAUGAUCUCAAGGUAAGGAUAAAAUAAUGUUAUUUAUAAAACCAAGUAAAACCAUCUAUAUACAUACAACCAUACAUAAUAUAACCAUGCCCGGAAAAGGGAUCGGGUUUAGCAUGUCUUUAAAAUCUUUACUUAGGCUGUGUAGAUUUGCCGUCCUAAACCAACCAUGGGCUAUAUGGGUUCAGCUCCUCCUGUUGAAAGGGCUCCAGUGCGUGUUGCCUCACGACCGGGGAAGUAUCCCUUGUGAUGACUAGUAUAUCCCCCAAAUAUAGUGUGACAUCAUGUACACGGUCACUAAGACCAAUCUCAUUUGGUAAAUAUAAGUUCCAGUUUUGGUCCCCCGAGACCUCCACUUUCCAUGUCUUAGCUACACAUCCCGCCAUUAUUGCCCAAUUAAAACCAAUUUUCAAAUAGCCAAACAAUUAUCCAUUUAUUAACCAAGGCCAUUAUAUUGGUAUCGUCAUACCAACCCUUACUUGCAAGUAUCAUCUAUAGCCAACCAUUUAUAGAUUUAAGGGGACUUUCAAGUGCCCUUCUAUUUACCCUAUUAAACCACUUGGGGGAUUCCAUAAGCCCCUUAAGCAUAACCAUUAUCCAUUUACAAUUCCAAGCUAUUUAAAGUAUGUAUAAUCUUUUUAACAAGUUUUAAAAUAUGCAAGAGUUUCAUUACAAGUAGUCAAUGCAAUGAACAUAUCUUUAUAAGCAUUUUGUCAAACACAUUGGGGGAAUAAUAUAAUCAAAACCAAUUCCAAUAGUUAUUAAACCAUUCACAUGAAAUCCAAUUAUCUAAAACCACCAUUAAUGCAUAUAAAAGCAUAAUUAAAACCAUGGAAAACCAUAACCAACCAUUUAAUAUCGAAACCCCCAAAUCAUAUUUGAAAACCAAAAUCAUACAAUCAAUGAAAUCAUAAAAACAUUCAUACAAAAUAUGCCUUUAGUUAGAAUUAACAAUGAGGGAAGAGAACAUGCCUUAAACCAAGAUGAUGACAGAAAGAAAUCACCAAGACAAGCCCAAAAUUAAUCCUUUAGUUAGAACCCUGACUUUCUUUUCCCAAAAGCUCUUGAAAGAAUUAUGGAGUGUUUUAGAGGAGUUUCUAAGUGUUAAUAAAUGGAAUAAUAGGGUAAAUAAACUCCCAAAUAGGUUAGAAGUCAUGGGGCCCAAUUAGGAUAAGUGGAGAAAUAUUCAGAAUACCCCUACUUAAGUUGCACCAAAAUCCCGUCACAGGAAUACGACUGACCCACACAAGUCGUACCAUCCAAUACGAUUGGUAUACUCCACUCGUAACCUGGCCUCAACCCUUAGAUCAAACAUUGUCCAGUAUACGACUCCUCCACCCAAUUCAUAUUGACAGCAUACGAUUCGUACCCUUCAUCCGUACCCCUGGCAGAUUUAUACCCAAGAAAGAUUUUUACAUUAUCCACCAUACGAGUCUUGGGUAUGACUCGUACCUUGGCUUAUGGCUUAUGGUGAGCCAUUCGUACUCAGAUCCAACCUAAGUAACCAAGUUUAAGAUUAAGUUAAGGAACCAAACAAUCUGUAACCAAUACGACAUACCCUUAAGUCGUAUUUAUUCCAAUAACCAAAAUCUAUCCCACCAACCAACACUAGUCAGUAUACGACUGGACCAUACCAUCUGUACCCCAACAUACAUCUCAUACCCAUGAGUCAUAUUGGUUCCAGAGAUCAGAAUUCUAGAAAAUUUUCUAAGGUCUAGAAACUAAGGCAUUUUAGUCUCCCCUACUAGGAAAUUCGUCCCCGAAUAAUGGAAAAGGUAGGGGUAACCAUACAAAAGAGUCAUUUGUAUUAUGUUAUAAAACAUAUUCCCAAUCUUUAACAAAGUUUGAAAACAAAGAGGCAAAGAUAUUAAUCUUUCCUGUAACAAACUCUAAAAAUAAAGAUGUGUUGAAGACACAUACCUUCCGCACGAAUCCCAAGAGCAGAAAACAAAUGCAGAUAUUUGGACUUCAUGUCCUCUUUCUCUUCCUAUGUAGCUUUUUCCACCUUAUGGUUUCGCCAAAGAACUGUAACGCCCUAAUUUUCUAGAACUGGAACGCCACAUGGUGCUCAAGACCCCGAGGAAACACAAGCUAACCCUUUCUGAUAUCUGCAACUGAGCACUGCAUAAUAUACUGAAAUAAAUGCAGAAAACUGGCGGAAACUUGCCAUAAGGUUCAAAACAUCUAAAAUAAUCAAUACUAAAAACUGAAUACUAAUACAUCUGUCCAAAAAGCCUCUAACUAUUUGAACUAUGGAGUUGAUUGGACAUAUCCCCAACUAACUCCGUCUACUGUAAAUAAAUUGAAUCCAAUACAAUGAUAAAAUAAGGAUCAUCCUCGAAUGAAGAGGACUCACUGCUACGUCUAUUGCUGCUAACUGAGUUUGGACUGCUAAGGGUACUCUAGAUCUCGUGCUUCUGAACCUAUGGUAUCAGACAUCAUAGCGCAAGAGAAAAGUAUGCAUUAGUACUUUGAAUGUACUGGUAUGCUAGAUGAGGUAAGGCUAAAUGCAAGGGCUUAUGCUUGAACAUAUCUCAACUGAAUAAUCAUGAGAGUACUGAAUGAGGACAUAUACAUGAAUGCACAACCAUAACUGAAAUCAUCGUGACUCUGAAUAUUGAGACUCGAAUACUACUUUGCUGACGUUUAAACUCACUACUAAUAUUGAAAAACUAAAUACCUGAAUCUUCUGAUAUUGAUAACUGAGUACUAAAGUUGAGAUCAGUCCUAUCUAGCGAGUGACCUCUGAAUCUAAUGAUACUGAAGCUGAUUAACUAAAUCUACUCAUAUCAAUGACUAAGUUCUAAGCUUGCUACUAUCGACUGAUUAAAUCUGUGAUCAAACCUUUCUAACAGAUGAUCUCUGAAUCUACUAAUAAUGAUAAAGAAUGAUUGUAUCUAAGACCAGACCUAUCUAACGAAAGAUCUCUGAAUAUUUUAAUAAUAGAAAUAAUGGACUGAGUUUGAGAUCAAGCCUAUCUGACGGGUGAUCUCUGCAUCUAUAAGUACUGAUUAUGAUUAACUUUACGUGAGACCAGGCUUAUCUAGCGGGUGGUCUAUGAAUCUAUGGAACUAUCUAAGUUCCUUACUGAGAUGGGUGACUGUAUCUGAUAGUCUUGGUUUCUGAGUUCUACUCUGAAGACUAAUACUGAAACUGCAACUGUGGGAGUUCUCACUUAACCGACAUGCCCUAAAUCUGAUCUGGUGGGGUCCAACCUGUAACCCCAGCUAGAAGGGUAUCAAUACCGUGCCACGGGUAAAGACCUCUACUAUGGUCAAGCUUCUCUAAUGGGUGACCCUGAACAGGAAGUCAAGCCUAAGGCGAUAUGAUAGUCAAGCCUUAAUCUGACGGGUGACUCCUGGUCCUGUGCUGGCUACGCAGUUCUAGAGUUCAGGGACUGUUACUAACGACUUUGUCUCUCUAACGAGGAAUCCGUCAUCCCUAAACUUGCUCGGUGCUAGUUACUACUCCCAACUGAAGGACUCUGAACUAAUUUUUAACUGAACUUAGAUUGAGUUGAAUUUGUUACUGAUCAUACUGAGUAACUGAGUUAAGCUGAGUUUACUUGAUUUCGAAGACUGACAGAAUACUACUGAAUCUCGUUAUCUGACUGAAUACUACUGAGUUUUGUAACUUAUUGGGCUUUACUGAAAUCUGAACUGAAUGUUGAAUACUACUGAGGUCUGAAUUGAAUACUGAGCUGGAUUAGGAUGAAUACUGAGAUUACUGAGUUUUCUUAAUUUCUGUCACUAACUGAAAUCUACUGAUCAUAGCACGACUGAGUUUUAUCUUGAGACUAACUCGGCUCUAGACAAGUAACUAAGUUUUUGGGUAUUAAAUACCCCCAAGACUCGAUAACAUAAAUAAAUAAGACAUGACAACUCUUGCGUAAUAAUCAUAACAAUAGACUAUCAUUCACAAUAUAACCAAUGAAGCAUUAUUUCAAGUACUUGGGAAUCUUAAACAUGUAAUUGUAAAGGAAAAUAUGCUAUUGUCUCAUAACUCACCCAACAAGGAGUUCACAUGAACAGGAAGACAUGCAACAUAUCAUAAUUCAUUCAUUUAGUCCUUUCAACAAACACUUAGCAUGCACUAGUUGACACAUGCUUGGGGGGAUAUUAUACUUCAUGUUAAAAUGACACUAUUUUCUUCACAUAAGCAAUUUAUCAAGCAUGUGGGAGGCACCCUUUGGUCAUAUAACUUUCAACACACCAAAUUAACAUAAUUACAUAAUUUAACAUGCUUUUUGAAGGGGCUUUAUCAUGAAUAUCGCAUAAUCAACACAUACUAGGGUCAAAGCUUGAAUCUUUAUAAUCAAAACAUGAAUCAAAACUUAUUAACAACAUGAACUUCAAUUUCUAUUGACAUAAUUCAUGAAAACUCAUAAAACAUAAACUUUAUAAUUUUGAAAAGGAUUCUUAAACUUCUUGGGUGGAAGGAACCCAAGAAUCAACAUCCAACAUACCUUGCUAUAUAAUUCUUGAAAGAUUCAAAGUGAAACCUUGAUGAUUUGGGUCUUGGAUUAGAAAUCUUAGGUUUUUUUCUUGAAGAAAACUGAGAGAAAACAAUGAUAUUUAGGGGUGUAAAUGUGCUAAAUUUUGUGUUAAAGAGUAUAUAUAGGGAUACCAAAAUGACUGUUUUGCCCUUGGAAUUAAAAUAACAGAACCUAUAAAAAUCCCUAUUUUUCAUGUUGGCGCGAUGUGCCAUAAUCGCGCCAGCUUAUUGGAAAUUGGACAAUUGGAAAACUGCGUCUUUGUGCGAUGCGGUGAAAUCUUAUUACCACCUUGGUUGUGAAUUGAAAAGACACCACGAUGUGGUGGAAUCGCGGAGGCUUAUUGGAUUUUGACGAUUACCAUUUCGUCUAGCUCUGCGACGCGCUGAAGUACCAGGUGGUACAUUGUCUCACUAAAAUAGCACUAACUCUCUGCCCGAGUUUAGACGAAUUUGAUAUCGAUGGAAAGCUUAUUCAAUUUCUGACGUGAUAAAAAGUCGAUAUUAGGGAAAUUCUACACCGUUGUAAAUAUUUCUCAUUGGUAAGUCAGACCUUACUCUUCUUAAGGAUGAAACUCGACUUAAAGAAAAUUCAGGGUAUUACAAGAACCUUAAUCGAAGACACACCCUUAGUCUACAACCAACGAACCUGCCUAUCCAAGAUCUCAAUCGGGACCUCUUCAUAAGACAAAGAAUCAGUGAUACCCAAUCCUUCCAAAGGAAUAAUCGAAGAAAGAUCACCAAUGCACUUCCUCAACGUGGAAACAUAAAAGAACAGAUGAACCAAGCUCAAGCUAGAAGGUAACUCCAGCUCAUAAGCAACAUUACCAGUUCUUGGCAAACCAUACUACUCCCUUCACGGGAGAUACCUUGAGAAAAACCUUAUCCCCAACCUCCAAUUCCAAGUCUCUACGCCUAACAUCCGCAUAGGACUUUUGGUGACUUUGGGUAGCCUUAAGCCUAUCCCAAAUUACCUUUACCUUAUCCAUAGCCCGGUAAAUCAAAUUGGGACCAAACAUGUCUGCCUCACCAAGCUCAAACAAACCAAUAAGAGAUCCGCACCUCCUGCCAUACAAUGCCUCAAAAAGGGCCAUACCAAUACUAGAAUGAUAACUAUUAUUGUAACCAAACUCCACCAAAGGUAGAUGCUCAACCCAAUUGCCACCAUAAUCAAUCACACAGGACCAAAUUAUAUCCUUCACUAUCUAAAUAGUUCUCUUCGCUAGCCCAUUCGUCUACGGAUAGAAAAUAGUACUCAGACUCAUCUUGGUCCCCAACCCUCUCUGCAAAGAUCACCAGAAGUGAGAUGUAAACUGCGUUACCAUAAUAAAAAAUAAUUAAAAUAGGCACCCCAUGUAGCUUCACAAUAUCCUGAAGAUACAGCUUCGCAUAAUUCUCCACCAAAAAGGUAGUCUGCACUGUCAAAAAAUGCACAGACUUAGUCAUCCUAUCCAUGAUGACCCAAAUUGAAUCAUAUUCAUUUCAAGAUCAAGGAAUACCGGCAACAAAGUCCAUAUUGGUAACUUCCCACUUCUACUCAGGCAAAUCAGUUUCUUGAAACAACCCUCUUAGCCUCAUGUGCUUAACCUUAACCUGUUGACACACCAUGCACUUGGCUACAAAAUCAGCCGCAUCCUUCUUUAUACCAUUUCACCAAUAAAUCUCCUUGAGAUUAUGAUACAUCUUAGUCGAGUCGGGAUAAAAAGUAUAGCAUGACUUAUGUGCCUCAGCCAAAAUCCUUUGUCGUAACCUGUUGAAAACAAAAACACACAACCUCCCUUGGUACCGUAAAAUACCAUCGCCACUGAUCUCAAACGUCACUACCUUUUGCCCACCAAUAUCACUCUUGAUUUUCAUCAAGAUAGGAUUUAGUACUUGUUUUUCCUUAAUCUUCACACCAAGAGAUGAUCGAACAAAUUCUUGCACCACCACACCACUAUCCUUGGAGUCCAAGAGGCGAACUCUAAGAUUAGCCAAACAGUGAAUAUCCUUCACCAAUUCCUACUUUUCUUCCUCCACAUAAGCCAAACUCCCCAUAGAUAACCUGCUAGGAGAAUCAACAACCACAUUAGCCUUAAUUAGGUGAUAGUGAAGACUCAUAUCAUAAUCCUUGAGAAGCUUAAGCCAUCUCCUCUACUUCAGAUUAAGCUCUUUUUAAGUGAAGAUAUGCUGUGGACUCUUAUGAUUAGAAAAGAUAUCCACACGAACACCAUACAAAUAAUGCCGCCAUAUUUUCUAAGCAAACACAUCCACCAAUAGCUCCAAAUCAUGAGUAGGAUAAUUCCUCUCAUGUACCUUCAACUGCCUCGAAGCAUAGGCAAUCACCUUCUUAUGUUCUAUGAGCACACAACCCAGCCCUACCCGAGAUAUAUCACAAUAAACCACAAACUCAUCAUUGUCUUCUAGCAAAGUCAGAAUUGGAGAUGAAGUUAACUUAUUAUUUAACUUCUUAAAACUCUCUUCACAAGUAUUUGAUCAAAAAAACUUAACCUUCUUCUGAGUUAACUUAGUCAAUAAAGCAAAUAUCGAUGAAAAGCUUUCCACAAACUGCCUGUAAUACCUAGCUAAACCCAAGAAGCUCUAAAUGUCGAAUGGAGUUGUAAGUCUAGGACACCUCUUCACCACAACAACCUUUUACAGAUAUACCAUGAUCCCUUCACUAAAAAUAAUAUGAUCCAAGAAAGUUACGACGUUCAACCAAAACUCACACUUGGAGAACUUGGCAUAUAAUUGAUGUUUCUUUAAGGUUUACAACACCAUAUGGAAGUGAUUAGCAUGAUAUACCCCCGCUCUUCAAAUAAAUCAGAAUGUCAUCAAUGAGCACGAUAAUGAAAGGAUCCAAAUACUGAUAAAAAACUCUAUUCAUCAGAUCCAUAAACACUGUCGGAGCUUUAGUCAACCCAAAUAACAUUAUCAAAUCCUCAAAGUGCUCAUACCAAGUACGAAAAGCCAUCUUAGGGAUAUUCACCUCCCUAAUCUUUAGUUGAUGAUACCCAGACCAAGGAUCUAUCUUUGAAAAGAAUUUGGCACCUUCCAACUGGUCAAACAAAUUAUCUAUCCUUGGAAGAGAAUACUUGUUAUUGAUCGUCACCUUGUUCACCUGCCUAUAGUUAAUGCACAUUUGAAGGAAACCAUCUUUCUUACGUACAAACAACAUCAGUUUACCUUAAAGAGAUACACUAGGAUAAAUAAACCCUUUAUCUAGAAGAUUCUUAAGUUUCUUUUUGCGUUCCCUUAACUAAGCCGGAGCCAUUCUAUACAGAGGGAUAGAAAUUGGAUGAGUGUCUGAAAUUAGAUCAAUACCAAACUCUAUUUCCUUAUCUGGAGGAACACCAAAAAGAUCAUCCAAAAAAACCUUGAGAAACUCAUUAACCAUUAGAAUUGACUAGAAAGAAGGACCUUUCGAGUUAGAAUCUUUAAGUCAGACUGUGUGAUAAAGACACUCUUUAAAGAUUAACCUCCAAGCUUUAAGAUAAGAAAUAAACCUCCCCCAGGAUCUACAGAAACACCCUUCUAUUCAAUAACCGGCUCACUAGAGAACCUAAAAAUAAUCUGACGGGUCCGAUGAUCCAAGGACGCAUAAUAAGAGUGUAACCAGUCCAUACCUAGAAUGACAUUAAAAUCCACUAUAUCCAACUCAAACAGAUUCACCAAGGUUUUCUUUCCACCAACAGAUACCACACCCCCUAUAGACUCUCUUAGUAAUAAUUGAGUCACCUACUAGGAUAGAAAUAGAAAAAGGAUCUGAAAUAACUUUUGGAUUAAAACCAAAAGAUAUAACCACAUAAGAAGUCACAUAGGAAAGAGUGGACCCCAGAUCAAGCAAAAAUUAUAUGUCACGAGAGAAAAUUUUUAACUUACCAGUAACGACAUCAGGUGAUACCUUAAAUUCCUGUAGAGACACCAAAGCAUACAACCUGUUCCGACAAACACUAGAACUAAGAGUAUUAAUAGAAGUAGAUGCACCACCACCAGGUGUAGGAGUAGAAGAUAAAGCCAUGGGAAUCUUAUUCGCCCUUAUAGCAACCUUAUUAACUGGAUAAUCCCUGAGUCGAUGGCUAGCCUAACCACACUUUAAGAAUUUGUCCUUUCUUUUAUCACAAUAACCCCAAUGAGGAUGACUACAGAACCGAAAAAGAGGGCAUGAAGAAACUUAUCGACCUUCACCUGCCUGACAUUAGGCACUCUGCGUGUAAUAACUUGUACUUUUCCUAGCUUGAAAAGUUUUCCGAAAAAUUUAGAAGCUUUCUUUAAAAGAUGAAUCCACUUUUAUACACAUGUUAUUUUCAAUAUUUUCAAUUUUUAUCAUGUGGGAAAUCGAAUAAAAUUUCCAUUGAUACCAAAUUCACCUAAAUCUGACACCCGGGUGAAGAGUUAAAGCCUUUUUAGUAAGACAAUGUAUCACCUGAGCCUUCAGUGUGCCGCGGAGAUAACUCAAAUGGCAAUUGUCAAUUUCUAGUAUUUCUCUGUAAUAAUAGAGCAUUGUGCCAAACUUCCAGGUUGCAGACAAGGUGGCAACGCAAUAGCUCCGCAUCGCACCACCAUGUAAUUUCCCAUUUGUCACUUUCCAGUGACUUGGCGCGAUAGUGGCGCAUCGCGCCAACGAUAAAAAUUGGAAAAUUUUCUCAAAAAUGAAAGAUGUGUCCAAGGUUAAAAGGGUUAAUUUUCCACCCCUAUAUAUACCCAAUAACACGUGAUUUAGUCAUUCUUCAACCAAAAUAUACUAGUUUCUCUUAAGAACAAGCUAGGGUUUCUAUUGGGGAUUCAAAUUUAAGAAGGUUUCACUGUCAAUUCUCAAGAAAUCACAUCCCAGGUAUGCGUAGUAUUCAUUCAUGGACUCUUUUCAUCCAUGAAGCCCGACAAUCUCUUUUCUAAGUUUAAGUUUAUGGAUUUCUUUUUGAAUUUCAUAUUGGGUUUGUUUUGUUUAUGUUGAGAAUGAUCAAUUGAAUUCAAAUCCAUUUUGGGUGAUCAAUUUUAUCUAGAAUUGAUUUGUAUAGAUGUAUAUUCAUGUGAACCUAUAAAUAAACCCUAGGAUGAUAAAAUUAGAGAUGAAUCAUGAUGAUUAAUUGUUGUAUAAUGUUACCUACAUGUGCUAUGCCUACCAUGUGUAUGAUUAAAUGCCUAGAUGAAGGAACAAUGCCCAACUAGUAUGAUAUUAUGAAAUCCUCAUGUAUGUACAAGCUUAUGCAUAUCACAUGUUUAAUGAAGUUCUUCAAUAUAUGAAUUAUGAAUUAUGUUAUUGGUCAUGUGUUCAAGUAAGCCAUGCAAUGUCAGUUUCUUCUCAUCGAGUCCUGGGGGUACUUGUACCCGAAUAUUUAGCUAUGUGCCUAGAGCCAUGUCAUGUUUUCACGAUCUCCUCAGUCAAGCUAUGAUCCAUAGAACUUAGUCGGUCAUGUAACUCAGGAAAUCUCAGAAAUCUCAGUAAUUUCAUGUCACGCCUCAAAUCCUAUUGAGGAGGACUGGCACCCGUAACCGAGGAGGCCCUGGAGAACCAGCUCAUAACCUUAUACUUCCCAUGCAUACCUCUAUGACAACUCAAAAUUCGGACAGCAUCAUGUCGCAUAUAAAAGGAAGUAAUCACCUGUAUAAGCUCAAGCACACACAUAUAUAUAUAUAUAUAUACAAUCCUUGGCCGUUGGAGCCAUCACGUCUAUUAACAAAAUACCUCCUCGACUAUACAUUAGGUCUACAAAGCCUCUAGAUAAUACACAGAGUUUAAUUAAGGUCGGGACACACCCCACCAUAUAACUAACUUCUAUACAAUACCAAAAGUGACUGGAUAUGACACAGAAAGCACCGAAGCAAACUGGAGCUCACCAAAAGCAGCUGGGUAUCCUAGCUCCUACUUGUGCGGUGUAUGAGCUGAGGUACCUGUGCCUGCAGCAUAAAAUGCAGGUCCCCCGUGGGGGACGUCAGUACGAAAUAUGUACUGAGUAUGUAAAGCUGUAGAUAAUCACAUAUGAUAUAGAAGCUCAAUAGAAAUCAGAAACAAGUGAAUAAAUCGUAAUAGGAGUGGACCACACUUACUAGAACUUGUGACAACCUGUACAUUGUAUUUAUUCAAUCACUUUAACUUCAUUCUUAUCAUCUUUGUAAUCAUUACUGUAUUGUAUUAUGACCAUUAGGCUGCCUCCAGUACAUAUCAACUAAGAUUGACCUAUGAUAGGCUUAUGCCCCUGGGAUACCACCCAUAAACACAUAAAUAGGGAUCGACCCAUGAUUGGCUUAUGCCCCUGGGAUACCACCUAAUAAGAGAGAACUUCCAUCACUUAGUUCAAUUAAUCUUUGAGAUUGUUAUUUUGGUUGCCAUCGUAUUUUUGAUACUUUGAAACAAUGAUACAUCAAUAAGAGACAUAUAAAUAGACCAUCAAUGCAAUAACAAUGAAGUAAUAACUAAUUGGCACAUCAAUGAAGUGUUUUGGAGUCAUCAAUGCCAUAACAAUGAAGUAGGAACUUAUUGGUAAAUCAAUGAAACGUUUUAGAGUCAUUAAUAGCACAUUUAUCUUGUUUGAGUAAGCAGAUACCUUUUGACAUUCAUUAGUGCAAUAAACAUGUAAUGAUACUUUGAAAUAAUGAUACAUCAAUAAGAGAUUAUAAAUAGACCAUCAAUGCAAUAACAAUGAAGUAAGAACUCAUUGGCACAUCAAUAAAGUGUUUUGGAGUCAUCAAUGCCAUAACAAUGAAGUAGGAACUUAUUGGUAUAUCAAUGAAACGUUUUGGAGUCAUUAAUAGCACAUGGAUCUUGUUCGAGUAACCAGAUACCUUCUNNNNNNNNNNNNNNNNNNNNNNNNNNNNNNNNNNNNNNNNNNNNNNNNNNNNNNNNNNNNNNNNNNNNNNNNNNNNNNNNNNNNNNNNNNNNNNNNNNNNNNNNNNNNNNNNNNNNNNNNNNNNNNNNNNNNNNNNNNNNNNNNNNNNNNNNNNNNNNNNNNNNNNNNNNNNNNNNNNNNNNNNNNNNNNNNNNNNNNNNNNNNNNNNNNNNNNNNNNNNNNNNNNNNNNNNNNNNNNNNNNNNNNNNNNNNNNNNNNNNNNNNNNNNNNNNNNNNNNNNNNNNNNNNNNNNNNNNNNNNNNNNNNNNNNNNNNNNNNNNNNNNNNNNNNNNNNNNNNNNNNNNNNNNNNNNNNNNNNNNNNNNNNNNNNNNNNNNNNNNNNNNNNNNNNNNNNNNNNNNNNNNNNNNNNNNNNNNNNNNNNNNNNNNNNNNNNNNNNNNNNNNNNNNNNNNNNNNNNNNNNNNNNNNNNNNNNNNNNNNNNNNNNNNNNNNNNNNNNNNNNNNNNNNNNNNNNNNNNNNNNNNNNNNNNNNNNNNNNNNNNNNNNNNNNNNNNNNNNNNNNNNNNNNNNNNNNNNNNNNNNNNNNNNNNNNNNNNNNNNNNNNNNNNNNNNNNNNNNNNNNNNNNNNNNNNNNNNNNNNNNNNNNNNNNNNNNNNNNNNNNNNNNNNNNNNNNNNNNNNNNNNNNNNNNNNNNNNNNNNNNNNNNNNNNNNNNNNNNNNNNNNNNNNNNNNNNNNNNNNNNNNNNNNNNNNNNNNNNNNNNNNNNNNNNNNNNNNNNNNNNNNNNNNNNNNNNNNNNNNNNNNNNNNNNNNNNNNNNNNNNNNNNNNNNNNNNNNNNNNNNNNNNNNNNNNNNNNNNNNNNNNNNNNNNNNNNNNNNNNNNNNNNNNNNNNNNNNNNNNNNNNNNNNNNNNNNNNNNNNNNNNNNNNNNNNNNNNNNNNNNNNNNNNNNNNNNNNNNNNNNNNNNNNNNNNNNNNNNNNNNNNNNNNNNNNNNNNNNNNNNNNNNNNNNNNNNNNNNNNNNNNNNNNNNNNNNNNNNNNNNNNNNNNNNNNNNNNNNNNNNNNNNNNNNNNNNNNNNNNNNNNNNNNNNNNNNNNNNNNNNNNNNNNNNNNNNNNNNNNNNNNNNNNNNNNNNNNNNNNNNNNNNNNNNNNNNNNNNNNNNNNNNNNNNNNNNNUCAAUGAUUGAUGAUGAAAAUGAGUUUUUGAACUCAUAUACAUGUAUAUAUACACAUAUUCCCAUCCAUAAUAUCAUAGGGAAUGACCAAAGUGCCUCUAAAAUUUAAAUAAUGUCAAAUCUGUCCUUUGGUGGACUAUUUUGGUAAGCUAAAGUAGAUCGACCAUAACUCUUUGCUCCGAUAUCGGAUUUGGGUGAAAUUGAUAUAGUUGGAAAGAUAAUUAAAAGGGAUUUAAUUUUGUAUAAAGUAGGCCACCCAGUUUGUCCUGUACAAGGAGUUAUGGUCGUUUGAAGUUGACCCUAAAAAUCUGUUUUAAGAGGCUGAAGUAAAAUGAGUAUAACUCCUUACUCAGAUGUUGGAUUUGGAUGAAACCAAUUGAAUUGGAAAGAAGACUCAAAGAUAUUUCUUUUCAUAGGUCGCAACUCUCCCAGUUCAUUAUAUUAAGGGAGUUAUGAUCGUUCAAAAUUGACCCAAAAAAUUGGCUGGCCUCAUAGUUUGUAUGCAGGAAAUUUUCCUGCACAUUUACUAUUCCCAAUAUCCCGGCCACCGUUUUAUAGUUUCAAAUGUGCUCGAUUAUAUCCGAAACCUAUCCGUUUUUGGAAAUCUUUAUAUCGUUGGAAAUCUUAUUCAAUAACCUUCGCAUGGAACCAUCGAUGGGCAAAUUCUGGUAUAAAUAAAAUAAAAAAAUUAAUUCCAUAUAAAUAAGACCAAUACACGUACUUGAAUACGCCAAUAUAUGUACUUGAAUAUGGGGUGUUACAUUUCAGUAGCUCAGUAAUCUCAGUAACCUCAGUAUUCCCAGUCAAUCUCAGUAACUUCCGUAUUCUCAGUCAGUCCUUAGAACUCAGUAUAUUCCGUCAGUCAAUGGAGCUCAGUAAUUUAGUUUAGCUCCACUAGACAAUACCACUAGUAUUAGUUUAGUUUAGUUAAUCAGCUCAGUUCAAUUAUUCAGUUGAGUAUCUUUCAGAUGGGAGUACGAUUCAGCAUUGAGAGAGCCUAGGGAUGGGGGCUCACCCACUAGAUAGGACGAGCAAUCCCUAAGUUCCUUAACUACGUAACUAGCAUAGGUACGAUAUAUCACCCGUUAGAUAGGACUGGCAUACUCAGGGAUCACCCGUUAGCACAUUUAAAUGUAUAGGACUGAUCCCAGGGGUCACCCGCUAGAUUAGGACUGACUCCACAUCAAUUAUAUUUACUAGUGGCACGGUACUGGCACCCUUCCAGCUGGGGCUAUAAGUUGGACCCCAGUUAGAUUAGUAUGGGGCAUGUUAGUUAGAUGAAUACAUCCCACAGUUUCAGUUACAAAAUCAAGACUAUUAGAUACAGUCAAUUUAGCUCAGUAGUAUUAAUUUAGGACUGUUAGAUACAGUCACUCCUUAUAAUUUUAAAUAGACUCUAGGAUCACCCACUAGACAGGACUGAUCUCAACUAUGGUCAAUCAGUAAUGGUAUCAUCAGAUUUAGAGAUCACCCGCAAGAUAGGACUAAUCUCAGAUUCUGUUACUCAAAUACAGUAUGGAACUUAGCUAGUUCCUUUAGAUUCAGGACUGUCAGAUAUAGUCACUCAUAUUAUCAGUUAUAUUAGUUAUCAGAACUUAUAUUAUUAGCAUUCAGCUUUAGAACUGUCAAAAAGUCAACCAGAUAGUUCUUUAGAAUUAGAACUAUCAGACAUAGUUAUCCAUGUAUUAAUAAUAUAAUAUCAGUCCCUCAUUAUUCAGUAAUACAGUAUCCAUUUCUCAUACAUCAGUAACUUAGAUGUCAAUGUCAGUACACUCAGUAGUCAAAAUUCAGUAUCCAGUCCUAUCAUGAUCUCAGUUACAGUUACGUACGCAUGCAUGUAUUCUCACAUUCAUGUUAGUCAGUCAGUUAGUAUUGUUCAUGUGUAUGAACUUAUUGUAUUCAACCUACCUCACUUGCAUACCAGUACAUUCAAAGUACUAACGUAUUUGCGUUAUGGUGUCUUAUACCAUAGGUUUAGAAGCACAAGCUCCAGAGAACUAGUAGCAUCCUAGUUCAGUGAUCAGAAUUAACAAUGAGUCCUCAUCCUUCGAGAACAUGAUGAUCAUAUUACUAUUUUAGUUUUCAGUUUAUUUCAGUAGUUUAAGUUAGUUGGGGACAUGUCCCAUUAACUCCUUAUUCAGAUAGUUUAGAGGCUUUCAGACUAUAGUAUGUUUAGACAAUUAUCUCAGUUGUUUUGGUAUUGUUAUACCAUAUUUUUUUAGUUAUGUACUAGUAUUGAACCUUAUGGCCUUUCAGUUCAUGUUUCCGUAUUUACGAUAUUAUUACUAUUAUUUAGUGCUCAAUUUCCAGAUACCAGUUAUGGGUUAGCUUAUGGUUUUUCGAGGUCAUGGGCACCGUAUAGCAUUCCGAGUACUAGAUUCGGGGUAUUAUACUGUGCCCAAAAAUUAUCACCACCAUGAUAAUGCAUGUUGCCCGACUGGUAAAAUGCACUGGCAGUAGAGUAGGAACUAGAACUCCCCCACUUCUUUUUCUGCCAUUUGCCACUAUUUCGACCACCUUAAGACAAAGCACCUCCCCGGAUAAAAAACCCACUCCUCUUACCCUAUCUAUCCUAAAACUCUACAUUCUUCCUCCUUUUAUCCUCUACCUCCUACAUAUGAACAAUCAUUCAAACCAGUAAGUCACUUACACUUAGCAUGCAGAUUUCUUUGAAAGUUUAUUUAAAUUGUUACAUUAUUAUUUUACUUAUGCAUUCACCAUCACAUGAUCAAUACAUUACAAAAGUAUUGAUCCACAUGUAAGUAUAAGUGCUACAUUGUUAAUAAUAUAGGUACCAGUUCAGUUGUAGUCCAUAUAUCACGAUUAGACAGUUGUAGAUUCCAGCCAGCAGAUGAUGAGUCCUCCUACUUUGGGGACUUCAGUUAGAUGUUAUUUAUGUACUUGACUUUCUUUCACAUAUGUAUUAAGUAGUGGUAGUUAGAGUCGCAUCCCAACAAUCUAUAGUAAGUAUAGUAGAGGCUUUAUAGAUGUCAAUCAGAGUCAAUCAUGUAAUUUCAGUUCUUUUUUUCAGCUUUAUCAGAAUGUAAAAUUGUAUCAGUAUUUUAUUUUCCCGAGAUUUCAUCAUGAUUAUGUUUCUGCAUAGUAAACUCAGUUAUUUUAUACAUAUUUAAAUCAGUUUCUUAAUAGUAUGCCAUCUCAUGGGUUAUCUUGGGAUCACUUAUAGUCCUAAGCACCGUGUGACAUCUAGGGGGUAGUCUCGUGGUAUUACAAUGGUAUAUAUUGCACCACAUUUAUAAAUCUGCUAAAUAAAGAGAAUUGUUAGCUUCCUAUAAUAACUUAAUUGAAUGCCUAUCAGAAGAUACUACUUACAAAAUUCCAUGUAGUUUACAUCGCUUAUUUGCCACACUAUUGGUAUAUUGUAAUCCUACUAACCCAAAAACUUUAUAGGAAAAAUUUGAAAAACCCAUGUUUGAAGAUUUUACAAUUACAAUAAAUAUACAAACAACUAACAUUCAUUAUAUAGUUAUGAAUCACAUAAACACCAUAUUACAUUUAAUGGGAUGAAAUAUAAAUGAGUUCAAACUUAUAUAAAUUUUUUUUACAUAUUUUAGAUUUUCUUACAGAAUAAUGUAAGAGUCUAGAGACAUCUAUUUAGAAAGAAACAUAGUUAUAACUAAAGAAGAUUUUGAUGAUAUAUAUUAUACUAAAUAAAGAGUAGCAUACUGCUUACAAUGCCAUUAUUAAUAAAAUAUUCUCAAAUAAAUUGGAAGCUUUUAAUAUUAAUGGACUAGGAGAAACUGGAAAAACUUUUUAUACUGAGAUUUACUCACUAUUGUAAGAUCCGAAGGUCUUAUUACUUUAGCUACAACAACUUCCAGUGUUGCAGGUUCUGCACUCCCCAGAGGACGAACUGCUCAGUUAUGCUUCAAAAUUCCUAUCAACAUAGGCAAAAAUUAUAAUUAUAAUAUAAGUAAACAAAGUUCACUUGCUGCUUUAAUUCAAGAUACUAAGUUAAUAGUAUAGGGUGAAGUAUCAAUGGCAACGAAAAAACUUCUAGAGACUUUUGAUUUAUUUCUAAGAGAUCUUAUGAGUAUAAAUAGACCUUUUGGUGGAAAAGUUAUUAUUUUUGGAGGUGAUUUUAGACAAAUGUUACCAGUUGUUAAAAGUGUAGUAAAAGAAGAUUUCAUUUGUGAAUGUUAUUGAACUCAGAUAUUUGGAAUUAUCUUAAAAAGUUUUGGCUAACUGAAAAUAUGCAUGCACGAGAAGAGCCUACAUUUUGUGAAUAUUUACGUAGAAUUAACGAUAGAAAAGAACAAGUUAUUCACCAUGACAAAAUUAAGAUUCCGGAAUCCUUUCUUAUUUCUUUUACAAAGGAGAAAGAGCCAUUAAAAAAAUUAUUCAAAACUAUUUACCCAAACUUAAACAUGAUCAUGAUGGAUACAUCUGAUGUAACAUCAGAUGUUAUCUUAAUAACCAAAAAUGAUUUUGUAAAUAAAAUUAACCAAAUGUUCAUAGAUCAAUUCCCUGGUACUGAUGUAACAUUAGUUGGUAUUGAUGAAACAAUAGAGCCAAUUGACCAAAGCGAGUUUGAAGAUUUCUUACAUACUUUAAAUCCUGCUAGAUUGCCUCCUUAUAAGUUAGUUCUAAAGAAAAAUUGCCGAGUUAUAUUACCACACAAUUUAAAUCCUUCUGAAGGUUUAUGUAAUGGUACCCACUUAAUUUGUAUUGAUUUUACAGCUCAUAUUAUUAGUUCUAAAAUUGCAAGUGGGGAUUUCAAAGGCAAAUAUGUUUUCAUUCCCCGCAUACCAUUAUUAUCACCACAAGAUGAAAAAUUUCCAAUUCAAUUCAAGAGAAAAAAAUUUCCCAUUCGAUUAUGUUUUACUAUGACUAUAAACAAAGCUUAAGGUCAAACACUAGAUUUGUUUGAAUUUACUUACGGGAACCUGUAUUUUCACAUAGCCAACUUUAUGUUACUUUAUCAAGAGCAAAAAGCUCAAACUGUGUAAAAAUGAUAAUACAACCAACAACAGCAGAUGAUCCCGAUGAUCAUUCUACUUACAGUAUAGUAUAUAGUGAAAUUAUUAAAAAGGCAUUCUCUUAAAAAUAAUUUUCACUGAUUUCAUAUAAAUUUUCUACAUUUUGAUUUUUACUAUUUGAAAUUCGUCAAUCAACUCCUACGCUACUCCUACAAUCUCAAAUAUCUUUAUCUUUUGCUGGUAGUCGACUUUAGAAUUUCAAAUCUAACCAAACUUGGAAGCACCUCUUCACAAAUAUUCCUAAUGAGUACCUUUGAUUAUAUGUGUUCAAAGUAAGAAUCUAAUUGUAUCUAAUAUUAUGUGAUAUUUUAUAGCUGUAUUUUCCAAGUUUUCUAUGCUAUGAUAAUAUCUACAAUGCUUCUAUCUCCUAAAAUUUUUAUUGGUUUCAACAAUCAUAUUCAAAAUCACUCCACAAUAUAUUUAUUUCCCUGAAGGUAGCUUAAAUACAAUCAAUGUGAAUAAAAAUAUGUCCUUAUGUGCAUCAAUGUGUAUGUUAGAAUGAAUAAUGAAUAUAAUGUCUUUUAUGUUCCCUUUCAAUGAAUGACCUUAAGCUACUGCCUGAGUCUUUAUGGGCUUAAACUUAUCUACUGGGCUACUACUUAAUUAUUAGAUUUUCUUCAUUUUCUGUUUCUGCUCAUCCAGGGAAUACCUGAAAAUAUAUAUACAGGUUGUGAAGCUUUAUGUUAUUUUACACUAAUGAAUCAGUCACCAUUUUCAUGAAUCCUUGGCAAGAGCAUUUAAGCGUUUAUGAUGCUAUAAACGGUAAAAUAGAUUUUGCAUUGUAAUGUAGGAUGUUUAAAAUUUAUACAUUUCUAAUAUAAGAAUAUUUUUGUUUGCUUAGGGAGGACAAAAAAAUAUUCCAACAAAAUAAUCCUUUUUAUCUUGAAAUUCUUUUUCUUCAUGUCAUCCUUGGAAGGGGUUAGGGAAAGGAGUACCAGUAGAAUACUACUUAAAAAGGUGCUCUAUACUAUAAUGGUAUGUUUUAAAACCACACUUUUAUAAGAAGGUGAAAAGGAGAUUUAAAUCUCAAAGUUGUGGCACAAAUAAAUUGAUCCAAACAUUGUAUUAUCCUUUUUAACUGAAGAAUUAAUUGGUCAAGACGUUUGAUAUAUGUUUAUAUAUAUUUUUCCUAUGAUGAGAUUGUAGUACAUAAGUUCACAAACAUGCCCAGUUAAUUGGAGCAAUAGUUUUACCUCUUUUGCUUUAUUAUUCAUCUUCAAAUUAAUGUGGGUUAGUUUAAAUUCUUUUGCCAACUGUACUGCAAUAGAUCUAAAGAAGCAGAAAUUGUACUAAAGCAUUACUUAAAUUAGUAAUUUGCUUAAUUUCUCUUGAGAUCUUCUAUGUUUCUUAUGAAAUAGUCUAGCUAUUUUCUAUCAAACAUAUGAGAGCUCAAAGAAAUAUAUGUGAUACGAUUCAAAUGGCCAACAUAGCUUUUGAUGCCAUCAUUCAAUGCCAACACAUGAAGAAUUGAGUCGUGAUGACCUCGAGGACACAAGAACAUACAUGGAGGACCCAUUUUGAUCACUCAAUAGAGUAAUUCCACAUAUGGAAGGUUUCUUAGGGCUUGUAACAUAUUUUGGAAAAGCCUUGGCAUAAGGAAUAAAGAACCCUUGUGGGUUAUUUUCGAAAUAGCCACUUUUGGGAUAUUUUUGUAAUAGGCUAGUUUUUCAAAGGCAACUAAUAUAAAUAGGUUCCUUAGACAUUUCAUUAGUAUGUUUUUGAAUAUUUUCACAUGAUAUAUUUAUGAACUCCAUUUGGAGUGUCUUGGGGGCUUGGAAAAGCCGAUGUUUAACUUUGCUUAGAAAUGAUGGUUGUAAGGAGGAUCUAAUCCUCUUUGUGGUCACCAUAAUAAAUUGGUGUUUGAUUCUAAAAGUUUUAAGGAACUUAGAGUUUGAUAUAGUCAUUGGUUCUUACUUCUUUGUAGUUUCAUAUGUCAGUUUAUCUAUCUUUACUUUCUUGGAUCUUGCAGUUUUAGCUUCCUUAGGUAGAUUUCUACAUUUCGUAGCUAGAUCUGUAUCAUUUGAUAUCAAAGCCGAGCUUUAUUUCAUUAAUACAAAGUCAAUAUUGGGUUUGAUAUCUUGAAAAUCACAAAAAAAAGUGUUAAAGCUGAAAAUCCCACAAAAAAUAUUUUGUUCCCAUUUUUGCCCUUGGCCGAGACUUUGGUAUUUGAAUUUUUAUUUAUUUUGUGUGUUUCUAGUGUUAGAUCCUUGUUCCAUAACACUAAUAGAGUCCAGAUCUUGAAUUUAAGCUUAUUCCGGGUUGAUUUGAAUCAUCUACCAUUGUUGAGCAUGAAGUUGAUUUGAAUCAUCUACCAUUGUUGAGCAUGAAGUUAAAGAAACUUGAUAGGAGGAUGUCGAAAUUGGAAGGGUUUUUGUUAAGAUUUUGGUUUGAACGUGUCUUGAUUGUGUUUGGGAGCUCAAAAUGAUAGUGUUUGGGAGCUCAAAAUGAUCUUGAAUCUUGAAAUUUCAUUCAAAUCCAAGGUCAAUUGGCUAAGGUUCCAUAAUGUUCUUGCUGUUCUUCAUGUUCUUCAUAUGUUAUUGAAGAAGAACAUUCAAAAAGUAGUUAUUUGAUCCCGAAAGAGAGAAAAAAGAAGGUGUGGUACUUUUUUGUCCCAAAGAAUGUUCCAAUCAUAUUCAGUCUUCCAAAGGAAGAAAGAACAAAAGGCACGUAAAGGGAAUAUUCUUAAGGAAGAAGACAAAAGAAAGUACAAGGAGGGACCGCAAGAAAAUUCAAGCUCUCUUGAGUUUGAAUGAUCAAUUGAAAGGCUCCAAUUCUUGUAUUUUCAUCCAAAAGCCGUCUACCACACCUCCAACAGGAAGAAUAAAGAUUGAAACACAAUUUAAAAGCAAUUGACAAGUGAUCAAUAAUUCAAGAACCAACCUAAAUUGCUACUUGAGGCAGCCACGUCAUUCAACCCUUAGAAUAUCCUUAAUCUAUUGGAUUCUAAGUUUAUUUUCUUUAAUUCUUUGGUUUCUUUUUCUUCAUUCUAAUUCUAAUUAGCAACUAGUAAUCACCUACUUAGUUGUGAGUUAGUUUUGAAUCUAUUUCUUUCUUUGUCCUUUCUUUGUGUGCUUUUAUAGUUUUGAGUCAUUCUGACUUCUUUGUUUCAAGUCCGCAAGUAGAUUUUGUUUUCCUUGAGUUGAUCAAACAAGAAUCCACUCCGACCAAAAAGUAGAGAUUGACACUUUAUUAUCCAUCGGAGUGUAAGAAACUUUCAACAUUCAUCGCUCCAAUUAUGAGGAUCACAAAGGUGAGCUCAUACAAGUGUUGGUAAGAAGGUUUUACUACUAAUCUUGUUUGUUCAUUUUGUAGGUACAAGGUGAUAUAAGAGAACAUAUUGUAAUGAUCCGAGACUACUCCCUAGUCAUUACACGGUACUUAUGACCACAAGUGAUCCCAAGAUAACCCUUGUACUUGCAUAACUCAUGAGCAACUGAAAUAAAUACAUAAGUUUAAAACGAAAUAAGCGAAAGAUACAUAUUUAGUUGAACAUGUUCAAAACAAAAUAUUUAAAAUGAUUACAACUCUGCUUUAUACUUAACUCUACUGACUGUCUAUGAAGCCUCUACUAGUAUUGACUAUAGGUAAUUGGGACAUGACCCCCAGCUAUCUCGAAUCAAUACGACUGAAAAAAGAAAAAUACAAUACUACUCAAACUAUGACUAAAUACAAUACUACUCAAACUAUGACUGACCUGAAACCUUGAAUCUAAAGGAUUCAUCAUCUGCUAACUGAAAGCUGUAAACUAUAUGAUUAUGAUAUGAGUGCGACAUUCGGUACCUAUAUUAUUAGACAAUGUAGAACAUAGACGUAUAUGUGGAUCAGUACUUUUGGAAUGUACUGAGAAUGUAGCGGUGAAUACAUAAGUAAAACAAUAACUUAAUAUAUUCAUAUACUUUCAAAUAAUGCAUACUAUGUGUAAGUGACUCAAUUUGAUCUUGAAUUAAAUUGAAAGCCGAAAAUCGUGGAAAACAUGAAUAAUAAAGCAUAUGGAAUAAACUUUGUGAGCUACACACUUAUUUCUAAAAGCUGUACUUUUAUUCUGUUUUAGGACUUAGAGACUUUGGGAGGUUUUUCUAACCGGCAUAAACCAUAUGAGCUGUCAUGGAGUCCAAUGUCUUACACACAUUGGGGAGAGCUAUUCUUUCUUGCCAUCAAAAUAGAACUUCUUAUCUUAAGUGAUCACUAUUUUAGCCCAAUAUGGGCAAUCUUAAACCUAUGGUGGUGCAUAACUUUGGGGUAUGAGAACUUUGGAAUCAUACCCAACUCGGUGCUAAAUACUACUCCCAUUCUUAUGCUCAGACUUUAGGAAAUCCACCUUAAAAUAGCACAUGGUUGUAAUGAAAACCAAUUAUGCUUCUAUUUCUUUAAAUCUCAAACUAUAUGAACAAUGUGGAUUCCUUAUCUUAGCUUAGGAUCAAAAGAACAAUUUCUUUCUUAAAUCUUGGAAAAAAGUUUGUGAAAGAGGCUCAAAAUCAUAAUCUUGUUGAGAUAUCAAUACUUAAACUUCGGGCUUUAAAACUCAUGCUUUAAACUCAUGCAAAUUAUGGCAAAAUGUCAUGCUCAAUAAACUUCUUGAAAUACUUCAACAAUAUCAAAGUAAUGAAGUCAAACUCACAUUAUCAUGCUUAAGACUUAAUUGGAAAUCUGUAAAAUAAUAUCACAUACAUAAAGAUGUGAAAAUAGACAUGCAAAUCAACAUUUAAAUCACUUGUAACAUCAAAAUCUUCAAAUGAUGAUAAUUGGGUAUGAAACUUACAUUGAAAUCCAUGUAAAUUCAAUCUUAAAAACUAGUUUUGGGCACAUGGAUGGAAGAAUAUCCUUGUUCAUAACCCAACAUACCUUGAUUGAACGGAUUCUUGAAGAAAUCUUGAAAUUGAAGCUUAAAUCCUUGUGUUUUUAGAGUUAAAGCUUGAAUUAUUGUUCUUAGAAAGAGGGAGGGUUUUUACAUGAGUUGAUUUGAAGGAGAUGGGUAGAUAAUGCCCCUUUUUGAGUUAUAAAUCUUAUUUGGAUAGCUGGGGAUGAGGGAAAAGGACUAACUACCCCUUGGCCUCUUUUUUCCCACGUAAAUGACACUCGUGGUGUGACCCCCAACAAUGGGAAUGGACCUCGCGUCGUUCCUCCCAGAAGCUGGAAUGGAUUGCUUCGUGAGCUUAUUAUGAUAACUACUGACUCUCACGAAAAAGGUUAUAACUUUUUGCUCGGGUAUCAGAUUAAGGUGAAAGUGGUAUCAUUGGAAAGAUAAUUUGAUUUUAUACAAUUCGGUGUGUCUUAAUCUACCAAAUUAUUUAUUUAAAAAAAGUUAUACUCGUUCAAAUAUGACUCUUGUAGAAUCAAAUACUAUACUUUGAACGAAUCUAAGGUUCUUAGCUCAACUUGGCUCUAAGUGAUUUCUUUGAACAUUUUUCACCUCAAAAGCACUCCACACACUAGGAUAAUGAUCAUGAAACUUAUAUUCAUAUGGAAAUCAUUUGUAUUAGAGCUUAUACACAUAGGAACAAUAGUUAGAAUUCUAGCUCUAAAAUGGAGGGUGUUACAUUAUCUCCCCCUUGGAAUUAUUCGUCCGGACAGUAACUUAUUGAGACUUUAGAAUUAUGAAGUAAUGUAGACAAGACAUGUCUUAUAGCAAAGGAUAUAAUUGACUUGAAACAUUAAGAAUUUCAUCAUGAAACUAAUUUUCUGAACCGACUUGACUCUAUUGACUUAUAAGGGGUUGAUUCAUGCUGAGAGAUUAGAAUUCACUUGAAAUGCUCAUAAUUUGAUCUAACCUAUAGAAUCGUAUAGUGAUAACUGAUGCAACAAUAUUCCAAGAGUUAAUAAGGAUGGAAUAACAUACGUAACUUCUCAUUAGAAAUUUUUCUUCAAUGAAAUAUGCAUAGGAAUUAAAAGAAGAGAGCUUCAUGGCAUCGCCAAGUAUAUUAGGUAAUCCUGAAACAUGAGACAAUGAGACUAAGAUUGUAUAAUGGGUAUUACAUUGUAUGAGCUGAAAUACUUGGAAAACUAAGAUCAUUCACUGAACACUUAAGAACUGAAUUAUGACUAAAUAUUUGAAUUGUAGAUAUGAUGCAUGGACUGAACUGAAUUACCUCAUGGAAUAGACAUACGCAUAAAACUUCGUAUAGUGAGACUAGAUGGAAAGAUGGAAAUCCAUUAGAACUUGUCUGUCUGACUGCUAAACUAAUUUACUGGCUAUACGGACUAACUCAUGCUGAGAGCACACACUCAAUUAGAGCAUUUCUUCAACACUCUUUGCAAGAAGUUCUAAUAAUAUUUAGGGAAUAAGGAAUUGGGCAUGAUCUGAAUACGAUAUCUCGAUAAGGAAUGGAAACAUAGCUACAACUUUAUGCCAUAUAAUAAAGGACUAUAAAACAUAAGCUAGGAUAAAAUUAAUAAGCCUUAGGCUAUGCAACUUCUUACUUUCAAGCUUAGAAAUACUUUUCAAAUACUCCCUCAACUAUACUAUUUCCCUUAAAUACCAUACUCCUUUGAUUCAACUUAUAAUUCUCACAUGGGCAUUGAUAAAUCCCUCUACUAAAGUCUAGACUGAACUAAAUUCUCUCACUAUGAUCAAGCCUAACUCAAAAUCACAAGGUACAACAGCCACACCAUAAUACUAGUCUAAACCACAUGAUUCAACCUUCUAUGUCUCUUUUAGAGCUCACACCCUAAUCAUAACAUGCCUUACCACUUCAAUGACUAACUCAAAACUCUUACUAUAGAUUCACUUCACUAGCGUAUAUUGUAUUCAUCCACUUAAAUCCCAUCCUGACAUUCAAGCCUAUCUUUAUAACCACAUAUGAAGUUUAAGGCAAACACCCGUAAAGGCAUACUUCACAUAUUCUCUAAACCUCUAUCAAUAAAAACUCCCACACACUACCCCAAGAACAUACACACACAAUUUCAACUAACCAUGACAUCUAUCAAAGACUUGGCCUCAAUUUUACUUCACACUUAUAACCUUAGCUAAAAUGGGCAUACAAUGAUCUUUUGUGAACAAGAAAUAUUUACUCUCUCCUAUGUAAACAACUAUUCAUCAUCACUAUCUAGACAUAAGGAGUGGUCACUGAAAGGUUAGAAUAUGAGGACCUGAAGCAUGAACGAAUAAUAAGUACAACUGGAAACUUUACUGAGGCCUGAGGAAUAGAGUAUCAACAUCAUGGAUUCCCCAAGGAGAUAUAAACUGGGGGCAUACAUGACCUAAAUUAAAUUUCACUAGGAUCAUAAGUUUCUGAGAACUGAUCAUACUCUGAUGCAUGAGUUCAUACUUAUCAUAAGAUAUUCAACAUAAGACUAGAGUUCAUAGAUUCAUGAGGGAUAACUUGAAACAUAGAGUGAAGCUGUUACUUGCUUUCUAGAGAUGAGAAUGGACUUAAGUACACAUAAAGGUUAGAAGCAUUGUCCAUUGGCAUGGAUCUCUGAUGCAUAACAUGGAUUUGGUGUGAUAAUGACAUAAAUCCAAGGAAUACUCUCGAGUAAGUAGGUAUCACUAUCUCAUCAUAACUCUCAUUGACAUGUAUCACAAUCUAAUUUUCAAAACUUGAUUUGGUUUUGCACUCUACCAUCUCCCCCUUAGGUCAAAGCUAAUAUUCUAAGCUUAUGGGUCUACUCCAUAUCCUUGAAUCUGAGCCAAAUUUCUUUGCUCUAAUGGUCUACACAUAAAUGCUAAACUCACAUGACUAAAUUAUAUUUCAACUUACUGACUUCAUUCUUGAACAACCCCUUCAUAUACCAUCCUUAAGUUUCUAACUUCAAUAAUCGUCAUCAAAGACUUACAUCUUAUUUGCAAACAUAUCUACCUCACUAAACAUAUAAUCAUAGCCUACCAAGAUCACACUUUUAUACUUAUAUUUUUCCCAAAUCAUAAGAAUCAAAAUCAUACUUAAAAGACUCAACACCAGCUAUCCAAAACUCCUCAACUUAGCUAUUAAGAACACCAUAUACUAUAUAACUAACCUUCUUCCACUUAGAAACUCAAGGGUACUACAACCACACAUGACACUUAAUAACCUUAGAAAAUAAUGCAAACCCAUACCACCUUUGGCAUACCUCUACAUCAAACUUAACCUUAAAUCAAUAAACUUAAAUUCUUACAUGCACUGUUCAAGCAUACUAGAUUACCUCCAUAUAACUAGCAUCACUAACCAAGCAAUCAUUAUUUCCACCUUGAUAGUCAUUCACUAUUCCAACUUAGUGUCUAGUACUAGGCAUAAUUAACAACCCAACCUCACAUAAUAUUCUCCCUUAGAAGCUAUAAAAUAAAACAUCAAGAAAUACUAGUCUGCUAGAACUUCAUAACAAUAAUAAUCGAUCAUAAUUAUAUAAUAUAUCUUAUCAUAAUAUGUUAGAACUUCCUCCCUCUACACAUUAAGACUAUUUACCAAUUUAUACACCUAAAUUACUUUCAUGACUCUAUAUGUUUUAGCUAAUCUCCUUUUUGCAACCUCGCAGGAAGCCUAAAUUAAUAAUACUCAACCGCCAAAGACUUCAUUAAUAUCUUAUACCUUUCUAACACAAAAAAUAACAUCAAUAACUCCUUUUCUACUUCAAGCAAAUAACAGUUCACCCUAACUAAUAACUAAUUCUCUACCUUCCACUAAACUAACACACAAUGACAUAUUACCUAAGUACUAACUCGAUGAUAAGUAAAAGUUCAUCUAUGUACAUUCAGUCAAUUGAUAUCACCACUUUUCUUGUCACUGCACUUCUAACUAUAAGAAAGUUCUACUAUUUAUGGAUCAUAACACUCUAGGUCAUAAUAUCCCUUGAAUGCGAACACUAUUUAACAAUCUAGGUUCAUAUUGUCUCCUUUUAUGAGCAUUAUAUGUAUUGAAGAGUUAAUGAGGAAUCUGAAUACAUAUCUUACUCUGUCUUAACUAAAGGACUCAUGGGGAUGAGGAAAUAACUUUCAAAUCAAGGAAAACUUAUAACGCACUACCAAAAUUAUCACACACUGAUAGUAAAUCUGAGAGCAUCAUCUUGGGAGGAAUUGGAACUUACUAAUCAUGUUAUCUCAAGAAUAUAGCAUUGAUGGAGAAGUAUGGAUUAACACACGAAUCGAUAAAAGUUUUUGAAGGAACAACUUUACAACAUGAUCUAGAGAUGAAAGAAAGGAAACUUUUCUUAAAUGCCCUGUAGCCUCUCAAAGAAAAGUACAGACAUUUCCGUACCAUUCCGCAAGACUUUACUAGACACGACUUCAGAAAUACCCUAGGACACUUGAACCUUGUGCUCUUAUACCAAGUUUGUAAUGACCCAAGACUAUACCUUAUUCAUCACACGGUGCUUAUGACCACAAGUGAUCCCAAGCUAACCCUUGUACUAGCAUAAAUCAUGAGCAACUGAAAUAAAUACAUAAGUUUGAAACAAAAUUUAGCGGAAGAUAUAUCUUUAGUUGAACAUCUUCAAAACAAACUAUUUAAAAUAAUUACAACUCUGCUUUAUACAAACCCAAAACUAAAAUCCAAUAUAUUAACUCUACUAACUGUCUAUGAAGCCUCUACUAGUAUUGACUAUAGGUAGUCAGGACAUGACCCCCAGCUAUCCUAAAUUAAUAAGACUGAAUAAAUAAAAAUACAAUACUACUCAAACUAUGACCAACUCGAGCCCUUGAAUCAAAAGGACUCAUCACCUAUUAACUGGAAGCUAUAAACUAUUUGAUUAUAAUGUGAGUGCUACAACCGACACCUAUAUUAUGAGACAAUUUAGCACAAAGACAUAUAUAUGGAUCAGUACUUUUGGAAUGUACUGAGCAUGUAAGGGUGAAUGCAUAAGUAAAACAAUAACCUAUUAUAUUCAUAUACAUCCAAAUAAUGCAUGCUAAGUGUAAGUGACUCACCUUGAGCUUGAAUAAAAUUGAAAGCUGAAAAUCAUGGAAAGCAUGAAUAAUAAAGUAUACUGAAUCAACUUUGUGAGCCACACACUUAGUUCUAUAAGAUGUACUUUUAUUAUGUUUUAGGACUUAGAGACUUUGAGAGGUUCUUCUAACCGACAUAAACCAUGUGAGCCGUCAUAGAGUCCAACGUAUUACUCAUGUUGGGGAGAGUUAUUCUAUCCUUGCCAUCGGAAUAGAACUUCUUAUCUUAAUUGAUCACUAUCUUUGCCCACUAUGGACAAUCUUAAACCUAUAGUGGCAUGUAGUUCUGGGGUAUGAGACCUUUGGAAUCAUACCCAACUCGGUGCUAAAUACUAAUCUUAUUCUUAUGCUCAGACUUCAGGAAAUCCACCUUAAAAUAGUAUAGGGUUGUAAUGAAAACCAAUUAUGCUUCUCUUUCUUUAAAUCUAAAACUAUAUGAACAAUAUGGAUUCCUUAUCUUUGCUUAGGAUCAAAAGAUCAAUUUCUUUCUUAAAUCUUGGUAAACAGUUUGUGAAAGAGGCUAAAAAUCAUAAUCUUAUUGAGAUAUCAAUAGUUAAACUUAGGGAUUUAAAACCCAUGCUUUAAACUCAUGCAAAUUCAUAGCAAAAUAUCAUGCUCAAUAAACUUCUUGAAAUACUUCAACAAUAUUAAAGUAAUGAAGUCAAACUCAUAUUAUCAUGCUUAAGACUCAAUUAGAAAUAUACAAAAUCAUAUCACACGCAUAAGGAUGUGAAAACAGACAUGUAAUUCAACACUUAAAUCACUUGUAACAUCAAAAUCUUCAAAUAAUGAUAAUUGGGUAUGAACCCUAAAUUGAAAUUCAUGUAAAAUCAAUCUUAAAACUAGUUUUAGGAACAAGGCUAAAAGAAUAUCCUUGUUCAUAACUCCACAUACCUUAAUUGAACGGAUUCUUUUAGAAAUCUUGAAAUUGAAACUUGAAUCCUUGUGUUUUUUUACUGCAAAAGCUUGAAUUAUUGUUCUUGGAAAGAGGGAGGGUUUUUACGUGAGUUAAUUUGAAGAAGAUAGGAAAAUAAUGCCUCCUUUUAAGUUAUAAAUCAUGUUUGGAUGGCUGGAGAUGAAUGAAAAUGACUAAACUACCCCUUUUCCUUUUUUACUCAUGUAAAUAACACUCGCGGUGUGACCCCAAGAAAUGGUAAUGGACCUGGUGUCGCACCUCCCAGAAAUGGGAAUGGAUCUCACAUCGUGAGCCUAUGCGACUGCUUACUGCCUCUAACAAAAAAGGUCAUAACUUUUUGCUCGGGUAUUAGAUUAAGGCAAAAUUAGUAUCGUUGGAAUGAUAAUUCAAUUCUCUACAAUUUUGUGUGUCUUAAUCUUCCCAACUCCUUAUAUAUAAAAAGUUAGACUCGUUCUAGGAUGACCCUUGUAGAUUCGAAUACUAAACUUUGGACUAAUCUAAGGUUCUUAGCUCAACUUGGCUCUUAGUGAUUUCUUUGAACAUUUUUCACCUCAAUAUCACUCCACACACUAGGAUAAUGAUCAUGAAACUUAUAUUCAUAUGGGAAUCAUUUGUAUUAGAGUUUGUACAAGCAGAAAUGAUAGUUAGAGUUCUUGCUCAAAAAUAAAGGGUGUUACACAUAUCUACGAUAGCCUCGGAUAAUUUAGACUAUGACAUAAGAGACUAUGAUUGUAGUAAAGAAUGUUAUGUAUAUGAUGAUGAUGGAGAUUAUAGGGGAUAUGAAUAUAGCCAUAAUCAAGAUAUGGAUGAGAAUGAAGGUUACUAUUUCCAUAGAGAAUGUGGAUGAAUGAAGUGCCUAGUUCUUAUAGUGAGUACGAGGAUGGUGAAGAGCCUUGGAAGGGUUCUUAUAAAGAAGAUAGGGCAAGUGAGGAGUUUCCUACUCCAAUUAUCAAGGCAAUGCCAAGUAUAGCAUUCUCUUCCCUAUAGCUUCUAAGAGUUAUGAUGAAAGUGCUCGUAUGGAGUAUGAAGAUUCAUAUUCCUCACCAUGUAGUACUUUUUAUAAAAGUCAAAUUGGAGUGAAUGGUUAUACUAGAUAUAGUGGAGCUUUUUCCAUGAGAAGACACGAUCAUGCAUCUCCAAGGUCUAAGACCACUACACCUCAAGCUUCUUAUUCUAGUUCCCAAACUUUUGGAGGGUAUAGUAGGAGUUAUGACCUACCUAUUCUACCCAUUUUUAUAAAGUAAUCAGGUCUUAAAGAGCAUCUUUAUUGGAAAUAGAAGUGUGAAAGGAUCUUCAAAAAUUAUGAUAUGAAUGAAUUUAAAAAGGCUAUGUGUGCCCUUAAACAUAUCCGAGGUACAACAUCGAUUUAGUGGGAUGCCAAAAGAAUGUUCGACAAAAAUAAAGUGCCUUGAAAGAACACAUGAGAGGUACCCAUGUACCAUGAGGUAUCUGAAGCUUUACAAUAUUGAUCCACGAAGAAACGUUCACUCCUGAAAGGUAAUUAUUUGUGGAGUUUUGGGAUAUCUCCUUAUGCUAGAUAAUUGGUUCUAUAUAAACUACAUUAUUCCACCUAUGGUUGAUCAUUUAGGGCUAUAUCAAGAACUUCUACUUGUUACAUAUUUCUUGGAUAGGUAUAAGGUUACCGAGAGAGUGAAGGUUUUCUUCACCCGAUUUGAAUACUAUGAGGAGGUGUGGUGUGACAUCUUUCCCUUAUAACAAGGUCAUUUAUGCUUGGGUGUUGAUUGGUUUGCAUAAAAUAGAGUUCCAAAUAUGCAAAAUUGGCCUAAGAUUGUAAUGGAACAUUGGGGAAAUCAUCUCUUUCCACCCAUUCUUCCAUAAUCUCAAAGAGGUGUGACCACUUACUCCAAGCCAAAAGAAAUUAAGAGACAAAAUAUUGAGAGGAGUAAGGAUUUGGAAGGUGGAAAUACAAGAAUGGAAAAAGAAGAGGUUGUGAGGAGUGAAGUGAGGUGGUUGCCACCAAACCGAGCUAACAUUGUUUGUCCUUCUAUUUCUAAGGACGUUUGUGUAGGUACCAACAUGGCAAACAGAGGAGGACAAGUACAAAAAGAGAAGAUUCCCUUUGAAGAUUUGAUGAGGGUAACUUAGAUGAUUCCAAAGCUUGUGGAGGACCUUCACAUCAAGGUAAAGAUGAAUGUGCUCAAGAACUUCAAGGUAAAAUAGCUAUCUCAUACAUUUUUAUGCAUGUGAAUGAUGAUUGUAUGGCUAGUAUCCCAAUGUGUGUGAGUAGUAGUUUACCUACUUAUGAGUUUAUCAAUUAUUUUUCUCUUAUUAAUAAUGUACAUAUUGUGAGUAUUGAUACACUAGUUGAUCCUAUUGAUGAACAAAUUGACUCUUCUUGUAAGAUUAAUUUGUGUCCUCCUAGUGUUGAAUCCAUUAUGAAUAUAGAUACACUAGUUGAUCCAAUUGAUGACCAAAUUGACUCUUCUUGUAAGAUAGAUUUGUCCACCUAGUGUUGAAGCCAUUGCGUUGAAUGAUAGUACAUCAUUUUUGGAAAUUGUGUUGAUCAACUUAUAUACGAAACUAGUCCACCACUUAAGGAUGUGUGUGUUGUAAUUAAUGGUCCUAAAUUAAGUGAAGAACUUGAAAGUGUUGGUCAAGAAGAUAGGAGUGACCCCUUGAGCAUGUUUUCUAAAGAAGAUCCUAUGGAUUUUCUUGCUCAUAGGGAUGAUUAUGUGUUUGAAACUUCUUUGGAACUUGAUGGUUGCCUUUGAGAGAGUGAACUUGUGUUAUGACCCGAGACUACCCCUUAGUCGUAACAUGGUGCUUGGAACCACAAGUGAUUCCAAGCUAACCUACAAACUAGCAUACUGUUAAGUAACUAAUUUAUAAUCUAUUAAAUAACUGGUUCUGCUGUGCAUAUAAUCAUAAAAAAAUUUGGGAAGAAUUAUAAUACUGAUACAAUUUAUAAUCUGAUAAAACAGAAGAGAGAAUAGAAAUUACAUGACUAACUCUGACUGACAUCUAUAAAGCCUCUAUGAUACUGACUAUAUAUAGCUAGGACAUGCCUCCAACUACCACUAAUCAAUACAUAUGAAGAAUAAAAAUAAGGUACAUGAAUAAUAUCCCAAAAUAAGAGAAUUCAUCACCUGCUGGCUGGAAAUUGCAACUAUAUGAUCAUGAUAUAUGGACUACAACUGGUACCUACAUUAUGAAACAAUGUACCCACACAUACAUAUAUAUAUGGAUCAAUAUUUCUGGAAUGUACAGAGUAAGAGGGGGUGAAUUUAAUAAGUAAAACUAAUUUUAUAUGUAAUCUUAAAACAUGCAUGCUAUGUGUAGGUAGACUCACCAAGAGACUGAAAUAAAUUGAAAUUCGAAAUAAAUUAAAUCAUGAGUAACAAACAUAGUCUGAUAAGAUGGUGAAUCACUACACUUAGUUUCUUAAAACCUUACUUUUGUAAAAUAAGUAGAACUAAAGCUGGGAUACAGUAAAGCACGAAUACAUGAACAUAUAAAACCAAACAUACAUGUACUGAGCUGAUCUGAUUAACUAAAUAACUGAUGCUUGAGUGCCGAAAAGAUCUAAAUCUAAGAAAAGGGAUAACUAGCGGCAUAUACUAAGUAGCUGAUUGAUGAACACAUACUACUAAUUUCAAACACUAAAUAGCUAAUGACUGAAUACUAAUCAUGUAAUCCUGAACUGUACUUAAUCUGAAUAACUGGACUGAAACUAUGGGGUAUUGUGCAUAUGAGAUAAGGACUAACUGAACAAUAUGAGAUAACUGAGAAUAGAUGCAUGAAAGCUGUAAAAUCUGAGAAUGUAUGACCAAGCAGAUAAUGUUUCCAAAAUAAUUUGUAAAACUAAAAUACUGAAGUCUGAUUAAUGAAUAACUGAGAAUCUAUAUGAUUUGAUCAAGCAAACCUGAACUGAAACCACACUGAGUACUGUACUAAUACUAUGGGCGAUAUCAUCUAACUGACAUGCCCAAAUCUGAGCUAAUUGUGGUCUAACUUGUAACCCAGUUAGAAGGGUGUCAGUACCAUGCCACGGGUACUAAAAAUGGCUAUGUGGAUCCGCUAAACUAAUGUCCUGAAGGACUAAUGAGUUACCUUCAAUUGGAAGGUGCUCUAAUGAGAUAUGUAUUACCCUCAACUGGCAGGUAAACACUUUAUUAACCCUCAACUGGUAGGUUGAUAUUCUAACCUAUCGCUAGCUAUGUAGUUCUUGAACUCAGAGACUACUUCUAAAGGUCACACCCUCUACAGACAGGUGAGCCCCCAUCCCUAGAUUUGCUCGGUGCUAAAUCCUACUCUCAACUAAAAGACACGAAAAUACUAACUGGUGCAUGCACUAAUAAUUGAUAAUCUCAGAUCAUGGUAUUUUGAAAGUAAUAGUGCAUACAAAUUCUGAGGUAAUUAUUAACAUAUAAACUGAUAAUACUUAUCAUGAAUAAGAAUAGCUAAGUGUACCGGUAAGAUUCAUGGAUUAACUGUCUGAAUACUUGAAUAGUCGAAUUAAUGUAAAUCAUAUAGGUAUCAGGUGUUCAUAACCCAGUAGCAUUGAAUGACUACAACAAUAAGGACAUAUACAAGCUUUGAAAACCAUAAUAGGGAAUCAUCAUUCAAAAUCCAACAUUUAGACAUUUCAUCAAACACAUGGGAGUAAUGAACUUGAAUAUGGGAAUAUGGUCUACAUGUUAAAGCAAAAUAAGAACAUGACUGAAUUCAUAAGUUGGGGAUUUAACAUGAAGCCAAUGGAAUAGGACAUGGAAACUUGCAACUCAAAGUAUGAAUAGAUAAAUUCACUUAAAAACACUUGUAGCUAUGGCAAAGUUUAUAAUUCAAUAUUAUAACAUGAAAUUUAUUUGGAAACAUCAUGGGAAUCAGAACAUCAAGCAUGAGAUAACCAAACUUUUCAUGAAAACAUCCUUGGAUAUGAAUUUAGUCAAAUUACUAAGGAAAUCAUGAUUUAAAUUUAUCUUAAACAUAUGAUACUUUUUCAACAAAAGGGAAAGUUCAUAUAUUUAAUUAAAGAAAAACUUUUUGGGCUCCAUGGGUGAAAAAGGACCCACGGAUGAACUCCCACAUACCUUGAACCCUUAAGCUUAAAAAGGAAACAACAAUCUUGAUGCUUUUUUGAAGGUUCUUGAACUUGGGGAACUUGAAUUCUUGGUUUCCUUAGAGAGAAAAUAAUUGAAUUGCUGAUCUUGGGGGAUGAGUAGGGUUUUCUUGAGAGGAAAGUUGGAGAAGAUGGGUAAUAAUGCCCUAACUGGUGCCCAAAUUGUGUUAUGAAUGAUUGGGUUGAGGUGGAAAAAGACCCAAUUACCCCUCAAUCAUUUAAACCAAAAAUUUGUAACUAGAAUGUGGAUUAAAAGCUCACGCGAUGUGUCUUAUUGCGGUGGCUUACUGGUUCUAAUAAAAAUGAUCAUAACUUUUCGCUUGAGUGUAGGAUUCAGGCGAAAUUGGUAUCAUUGAAAAGAUAAUUAAAUUUUAAUUUGAUGGGUCUUGAGCUAAAAAUUCACGUUUAUUAAAAGUUAUACACAUUCAAAGUUGACCCUUGUAAAAUCGAAUACCAACUUCUGACGAAUCAAAGAUGCUUAGCUCAACUUUGUUCUAAGUGAUUUCUGUGAACAUUUUUUACCUCAUAAGAACUUCAUACACUAGACUAAAGAUUAUGACACAUGCAUUUAAAUUAUAAAUGAAGAACUGGACGAAAACACCUUCACCACGACGUGAUAUGCAUGCCAAAGAAAAUGUCACCGUGAUGCAUCCCUAUCGCAUUGACUUGCUAUAUUCGUGAUCCAAACGUGACCCAAACCUUGUCUAAAUAAUCCAAUUCCCCCGAGACAUACUUCUUACAUCCCUAAACUUGAAUUAACUUAAAACUAAUGUCUCGGGGUCGGGAUGACAAAAAUGAAAAUCCUCAAAGUUUAGGGUUCUUGAAAAUGACUAACUCUCCGACACUUAGUGAAAAUUGUAGGCCUUAAGCCCCUUAUGUAUGCAAAUUAUAGCUUAAUUGAGCUAACAAUAGUAACGGGUAUUACUACUUGCAUGUUUUAAAUCUGCCCUGGGUAUAGAUCUUUCUCUCUUUAGGUAUAAUAUCUUAUUCAAAGAUAGUACAAUUACUCCUAAUGAACCUAGAGGUGAUAAUCAUGUUGAAGAUAUAGAUUUUAUUUAAGGUUCUAGUCUAUAUGCCAACUUACUAUGAUGUGUCAACAUUUCUCCUAAAGAUGGAAAUCUCUUCUUGGAAGAUGAAAGUACUCAUAAGGGAAAUGAAUGUGAGAUCUUGGAAAGGGAAAAUCAAUAGGGUGAUGAUAACUUUGAUUUUCUUGAAUGUUUAAGAAACCCAAUAAAUGAUUACUCCUUUGAAAAUAAUUGUGGUUGUGAUCCUUUGUAUGACAUCCCACCCUUGUUUAUUACCUAUAAGGAUGAAUUAUUUGCUUCUUGUGAAGGCUUAAGUAAUAAACCCUUUGAUGUUGGUGGUGGUAUGUGUCUACUUGAGGAUGCUUCCAUAGAAAGAAAAAGUGUCCAUUGUUGGGAAAUUGCUUACCUUUCUACUUUGUUUGACCUUAUUAUUGAGAGUACUCAUAGUGAUGAUUUAGAAACUAGUAGUGAGUACAUACAUAAGGAUACCUUAGUUGAAGUUGACUUGAGUGAUACCUUUCUCUACUCUCUAUUUGCUUUUGAUAAUAUACAUGCUAUUGUAGAGAGUACGCCAUUUAGUUUGGGUAGAGACCAUGGGAAAGGGGAGUGUUGUCUAGACCCAUGUCUAUGGCCACUCUUCCCGUUUGACCCCGAUGCCAAAUAUAGAUUUUAUGAUGAUGGCGCACCCAACUUGUUGCUUGGUUUACAUGAAAACUUAUCACACCCAACUUAUUGCUUGGUCUACAUAACAAGAAAAGUUUGAAUAAAGAUGUUGGUAUCCUUACCUAUAAUGGGAAUUCACAAUCCACUUGAGGGACCAACAUUGUGCAAGGGAAAGAACUCCAACCAAGAUGAAAGGUCUUUAAAGAAAGGGAGCCAUGAACAGCUCCAAGAGUGUUCACCAUUGUGUGUUUCCAUCCUUGACCAAGGUUUUACCACUUAUAUGUCAAGAAGAGAAUAUUUUUCUUGAAAAUACUUUGGAUAAACUCCAUUUGUGUGAUACCUUUCAUCGAUAUGUGUGUAGAGAUGAUGACCUCCAUAUCAAAGGUGUUAUUAUUUUUGAAAACUCAAGGGUAAAAGUGUCCUUGUCUCCUCAGGGUAAUGCUUCUAAAUGUGAAUCCUUGCUUGACACACUUGUGCUCAAGUUAAGUGAAUCCCAACUUGUAGAUGCCAAGUUGUCUAUUUGUUUGAAAGGAAGAAUUUGUAUGUGCUUAAAUAUUUUUAUUUCAUCCUUGUGUACAUUACGUCCUGAUUCUUUUGAGACAAAUGGCAUUCUCAUAGAUAAUAGCACCUUGGAUGAAGUCUUUACAGUUGAUUUCUUCGUAUACUACCUAUUUGCUUAUGAUAACAUCUGUGAUAGUUUUGGAUUUUCCCUAUUUGGAGGUAGAAUAUUUGUUGGUUGGUCUACUUGUUUGAGUAACGUUGCUAUAUGUUUUUUGUGGACUUUAAUUCCAAUUAAGGAACCACUCUUGAUGUGGUCUUUUAAAGAGGUGAUGAAUCAAUUGUGUCUUAUGGCUCCUAAGGAAAAAGAAAUUUUACCUUGUGUAUAUAGUGAUGCCAUUAUGACCAUUGUGGUUUCCUUAUCUCUUGGUGAUUUCUAUAUCCAACUCCUUCGUGCAUUCUUCAAUAGAGUUCUAAUGUUUAACACAAAGUAUCCUUGGUUAUAUUUCAAAUAUUUAUAACCUUGCCAUGAUAAAAUAAUUGUUUAUGCUAAUCCUAAUCCUCAUGCCAUGAGGAAGUUGUGUUCGCUUUUCCUUCCUUUGAUUUUGCAAGGUAUGGGAGGAUGAUACGAUCCAAAUGGCCAACAUAGCUUUUUAUGCCAUCAUUCGAGGCCAACACAUGAAGAAUCAAAUCGUGGUCACCUCGAGGACAUAAGAACAUAAUAGAGGACCCAUUUUGAUCACUCAAUAGAGCAAUUCCAUGUAUAAAAGGUUCUUGGGUCUUGAAAUGCAUUUUUGAAAAGCCUUGGCACAAGGAAUAAAGAGCCCUUAGGGGUUAUUUCCGAAAUAGACUCUUUUGGUCUAUUUUUGUAAUAGGAUAGUUUUGCAAAGGAAACUAAUAUAAAUAGGUGCAUUAGACAUUUUAUUAGUUAGAUUUUGAAGAUUAUUCACAUGAUGUAUUCAUGAACUCCAUUUGGGAGUGUUUUGAGGGAUUGGAAAAGCCGAUGUUGAACUUUGCUUAGAAAUGAUGGUUGUAAGGCAUAUCUAAUCCCCUUUGUGGUUACCAUAAAAACUUGGUGUUCGAUUCUACGAGUUUUAUGGGUCUUCGAGUUUGAUACACUUAUUGGUUCUUACUUCUUUGUAGUUUCUUAUGUCAAAUUAUUUAUAUUUACUUUCUUGCAUCUUGGGGUUUUAUCUUCCUUAGGUAGAUUUCUAUCUUUCGUAGUUAGUUCUGUAUUAACAUGUGAUUCUGUUAUUGUUGUAAAACAAGAGGAUACCAACUCUUUAUGCACUCUCCCACAAGAAGUGUGUUUCAUUAGAUUCUUCUAAUUCAAAAAGUUUAAAAGCAAGUGUCAAGGAUUGAUCUUUUACCACAUAAACAUCGCCGUGAGAAAUAUGAAGAAAUUGACAUCAUGUAAUUCACUAAUGUUCUGAUUUAGAAGAUGAGCAAUCAGGUAAUCUCAACAAGAUUAAACUUAUUCUAUGACAAUUUAGGCUAAAUUCUUAUAAUAGAUUCAUCUAGGAUUUGCAGCUUUAUAGUCCUCGACUUAAUAAAUCACCAUUGGAUUAUUGAAAAUACAUGUCGAUGAUGAUAACUUUAGGUUCAUCUACAUAUGUAGUUUAUUGUGUUGUGAUUCAUUAUUUUGUACUUGAAAAUAUCUGCAGGUUAACCAAGUUUCUUUUACAUGUUUUGGCUUUCAUGAAACAAAGGUAAUCAUAGUCUAAACUUAUUUAUCCUUUUCCUCUCAAAGGUUCCACUAAUUUCUUUUCAAAUAGUUUUAGCUCAUUAGGUAACUAUUGUUAUUGAACUUCUACAAGAAUCUAUUCUAAUUGGACUAUUAGUUUAGCUGUUCGAUUGGAUUAGCUUUAAAUUUGCAGAUUAAUUAGUUGGCAUAGCUAUAUUUGAUAUCGAAGCCAGAAAUGGAUCCUUUAAUGAAAGUUUAGAGACAAGUAUUUGGUAGUGUGGGUAUAUGUUAAGUUUUCAAUAUAUAAUUACCAUAUUGGUUGCAUAAAUUAACUAUGUGAAUGAAGAAGCCUUCCAAUAACAGAAGGCUAGCAUUGUCUCUCAUUUACUUCAAUAUUUAUUAAUCGUAGAUUUAUCUUACUAUGCACUAUGUUUCGAGUCUAAUGCUUGUUUUUUUUCUUCCUUUAGAGAUAUCUAGAUAAAGUAUGUAAUGUCAACUACACUUAAAAUUCAGAUUUUAUCCAGUUGUGUUUUGCAUGAACCGACUUGACAAUUAUAACAACUAUAAAAGUCAUUUUUGCUUUUUGCAGGCUAUAGAAAAGAUGACAGAAAGGCCAAAUAUACAUGCAGUCGCCCCUCAAACACCUAACUGGAUAUGUAAAAUGCAAGUUGUAGAUAUCUAUAGACCAGGAGAAGGUACAAAACACAAUAUAAAGUAUAUGAACAUAUCUUCAAGAUGAACAGGUAGCUACUUAUUUUCAAAAUCAAAUUAGCUAUUUACAUUCCUUACUUCUGCCUCUUAUAAUACUAUUCAUAAAAUUACCUUCAGGACAAUCAAGUUAAAGUAAUUGUUUAUGGUGAUGAUAUCUCCCCUUAUCAAGAUGUAUGCCAAUUGUUUCGCACAUAUUUGAUAAUAGGUGCAUACGUACAAUAACAAACUCUGAGAUACGAAACACUGCUGCAUACAUUUGAAUAGAUUAUUGAUAAAAAAACUAUAGUGGAUCCAAUUGAUAAAGAUGACUUGGAUUAAAAUGAGUUACCACCACCCCUAAUGAUCAAUGUCACAUCAUUUUAUGAUAUCAACAACCAAGCCUCCUGACCUGUAAGAGAAUGACUUAGGAAGGCACAAUACAAUAUGAUUCUUUCAUUCUUUUUGUCAUUAAAUAUUUGCUUCAACACAAACAAACAUAUACCUUUUUCCCAAUAGAUGUGUUAGCAAUAGUUGUUAACUGCUUUCCUCUAAGAUGUGUUUGCAACAUACGAAAAAGAUUAUAGGAACUCCUCCUUACUGAUACCAAGUAAGAAUAUUUGCCAAAUUUACCACUACCAUUUUACUUACUUUAUGAGAAAAAAAUUACAGAACAUAUUAUUUACUAUAGUAUACACAACAAGCAAGCUUACACAUUCACAUUAUGGGAAGAAGCUCUCAUUGAAGAAAAAGGCAAGAAACUCAUUGCACAAUUUCAACAACAUCCAAUUAUCUGUAUCAGGUGUAUUGGAGUAUCCAUGUACAAUGGUAAACUAAACAGUAUACCAUAAUUAAUUUACUUAUAUCACCUUCUACUUUUUUCCAUAACAUCAUUUUUAUUAUUAUAAUUAUUAUAGGUAUAUCGUUGACCACAAAAUUUAACACAACAAUACAGAUUGAUCCACCUUAUUUAGAAUGACUUCAAAUGUAGUCAUGGUAACAACUUUACUUACUUUGUACUAAUUUGUACACUAUUAUUGAUAUGCUAAAAUUCAUCAAAUACCGACUCAAAUAGGGUUGCAAAAACUGAUCAAAUGCUCAACUCUUUUGCUGCAAGAAGCACAUCCCAAUGUGGAUCUCUGGUCUUCGCUCCUGUAGAUGAAGAGAUAGUGUCAAUUGCUUCCAUUCAGUCACAACAAGAUGUUAGUACCAUCUUUAUUAACCUUAUUCACAACUUAUGCUAAAAUUUAUACUACUCAUAGUAAAUAAUACCUUCUCCAUAGGGACGUGCCUUCACAAUCUAAGCGCAAAUAAUUCUGCCAACUAGACUCAAAUAUUUAUGUUUUAGUUGGUCCAAACUAUCCAUAAGAUGUAAGAAAUAAAGUGAUAAGAAAAUUCCAAUAUAUGGAUUGUCAUCCACAAAAUAUAUUGAUUCCCAAGUACUUUGGUGCUAAUAUUAUACACACAUACACCCAUAAUAUCAGUAAAAUAUUUAUUUUUAUUAACUAAAGUACUAACAUAAAUAAUUGUAGGUGCCGAUUCGAUGUCAAUCUUAAAGAUGGCAUUAGCUUAAUAAUUGGAAUUAUUAGCGGAAAAGGAGAAAAAUUAUUGUCUCUUACAACAGAAUAGAUUUACGAGCUUGCUACAAAUAAGGUAAAAAAUUUAACCAACCAACAUACACAUCAACUUAAUUAUUCAACAAACAUAAAAAGUAAAUAUAGUUUUCCAUAGAAUGAGUUCCAGUCAAUGCAAAAUAAUAAAAUCAGACUGAAUUAUAAUCUAUUCAAAAUUUAAGUAAAAAAGUACCUUUAUGCACUGAUCAUACAAUCUAUGGGAAAGUCUAUAUUCUAGCCUGUACUGAAAAAGGAGAUAUCAUACCCUUUCUUCCUGCACCAUCAACAUCUCAGAUCAAAGAAGGAAGUAAGAAGCAAAAAAGGAUUCUACUUCUGCUGCUGAACAAGCCAAAAAAUAAAAUGAACGCUGGAACAUACUCAAGAUGAAAUAGAAAAUGGAGCCAUCAACUCCAAUGAAAACAAAAUAAAUGUUGCUAAGAAACUUCUUUCAUAUUCUUUAUCUUAAUAUUUAUAAUGUUUUCAAUAUAAUUGCUAUAAUAUUUUCUCACUACCUAUAUUACACCCUCUAUCAUUCCUGUUAAAUACAUUUGCAGGUUGAUUAAUUUUUCUUUUGCAGUUGUAAGACCCCACAAUUCCUAGCUUAAUUCAGUCUUUUAAGCUUGUUAAGGGGUCCCAGACUUAGAAAAUUCUAGCUAAGUAUUCAGACUUAGUUUAUUUUAGGCCUUCAAAAGUUGGCAAUCUCAUUUUGCAGCCUUAAAGUCCUUUAAAUGUCUAUAUUUUAGUUAAUUCAUGAUCAGGAAGGUCAAUAGGUGUUCCCGAACAAGUUUUAAAUUUUUUGGACUUCGUUUGAAGAUCGUUUGGAAUCCCAAAAGAGUGUACCAACGCGAUCUUGGUGCGCCGCGUGGCCUAUCGCAUUGGUUUAUAUUUUCCCAAGCUACCAGCAUCAAAUUUCAGUGAGUCAGUGUGAUCUUGGCGUGACGCAUUAGAUAUCACAUCGGUGCCAUCGAUGCGCAGCGUAGGUAAUCCAGUUUUCACUCAUUAAAACACCACAUUCUUGGGGGGUAUUUGGGUCCUUUUUUCCCGACUCUCAACCCCCAAAACAUGAAAUUUAAUACCCUAGGAAGCAAAUAAACCUAUUUUUUCUCAAUUUCUCUCAAGAACAAGCCUUAGAAUUUUUAAAUUUCAAAUCAAGAACUCAAGAUUUCACCAUUAAUUUCUAAAAAUUCUUGAACAAGGUAUGUAAAGUGUUCAUCCAAGGGUCCCUUCUACCCUUGGAGUUCAAGAAACUUCUUUUAAAAAUAUGAAUUAUGAUUUCCAUAUUGUGGGUUUAAAUGUAAUCAUGUUGAUGUUUGAAAUGUGUUCCAAGUUGAAAUCUUUAUGUGUUUCUUGAUAUUAUGAUAGCAUGUAAGUUGAAUUUUGAUUCUCUUAUAUUGAAGCCCUUGAAUUAUGAAGUCAUGAUGUAUUAGCAUUUUUGUUCAUGCCCAAGUAUAAAGCUAUACCUUGUAUGUGUUUGAUGGAAUGCUCAUGAGAUUGGUUUAAUGAAAUUAUGAUGUGUUAGUAUGCAUUCCUAUUCAUGUGCAAGUUCAUGACUUUCAAGUAAUUGGUGAAAUGCCUCAUAGAUCGUAUUGUGAGUUGUUGACUAUUGUCAAGAAUUCAAGAAUUGUCAUGUCUUAUUAUUUUUAUGCUAUUGAGUCCUGGGGGUAUUUAAUACCCAAUAAUUUAGCCGUGUGCCUAGAGCUAGUGUCAGUUAUAGAAUAAUCUCAAUCAUGUCACAAUUGGUAGCACUCUAGCUCAGUUACCAAACUCAGGAAAACUUAGUAAAAUCAUUAUCAAUCUAGUCUCAUUCAGUAUUCAGUUCAGUCCUCAGUUAACUCACUCAGAUAACAGAACUCAGUAGUAUUCUGUCAGUCAAUAGAACUUAGUAAACUCAGUUCAGUUCAGUUAAUCAGUACAAUCAGUAACAGAUUAGUUCAGCCUAGUAUGAACUAGGAAAUUAGUUCAGUGUCUAUUUAGUUAGGAGUAGGAUUCAGUACCAAGUGAACCCAAGAAUGGGGACUCACCUCCCAGCAGAGGGUGUGAUCCUUAGAAGCAGUCCUUGCAUUCCAAAACUAUGUAGCCAGUGUAGGUUGAGACAUUAAAACCUACUAGUUGAGGUUUGAUGAGGUAGCUUAACCUAUCAGUUAAGGGUCCCACCAUUCUCAUCAGAGUAUCUGAUAGAUGAGGGUAACUCUCAGCUUGUCCUUACUUGUGGCACUGUACUGACACCCUUCUAAUAGAGGUUAUAGGUUAGACCCUGAAACUAUUCAAAAAAGGGGUAUGUCGGUUAGAUGAUUACCUCCCAUGAUCUCAGUCUCAGUCUUUAUUAAAGAACUCAGAUAGUUCUAUAGAUUUCAGGACUGUCAGAUACAGUCACUCAGCUCAGUACGAAACUUAGUUAGUUCUAUCAUAAAUAGGACUGUCAGACACAGUCAUUCAGUAAACAGUAUAUCAGUUAUUAGUUGUAUCAGUUAUCAGUAGUCCAUGUUAUCAGUAAACUCAGUAUUCAGAAUUUUUAUGACUUCAAUUACAGUUAUGUAUUCAUGCAUAUAUUCUCACGCAGUCAUGUUUAUGUUAUUUAGUCAGUUAUAGUUCAUGCAUAUGAACCCUUGCAUUCAGCCUUACCUCACUUUGCGUACCAGUACAUUCAUACUACUGACAUAUACUUUUCUUUGUGCUAUGGUGUUUUAUAUCAUAGGUUCAGACGUACGCCCCNNNNNNNNNNNNNNNNNUUCAACCAGCAACAGCAGACUAGUAGUGAGUCCUCAUCAUUUGAGGAUAUUCUUUUAUUUUAUUAUCUCAUUAGAUUCAGCAUUUCAGUAGAUGGAGUUAGUUUAGGGAUUGUCCUAUCAACUCCUUAUUCAGAAAAUUCAGUUUAGAGAAUUUUCAGACUAGAUGUUCAAACAGUAUUCAGUAUUUCAGAUGCUGAUGUUUUAUCAGACUUUAUUAUUUUCUUUUCAUCAGUAUUACAGUUUUGAACCUUAUGGUAUUUCAUCCUAUUAUUUCACAUUAUACCAUAUUAUUAUUCAGUUAUUGCAGUAAGUAUCAAUCAUGGAUUAGCAUGUGGUCCUUUGGGAUUAUGAGCACCAUGUAGCAUCUGGUGUAUAGACUCAGGGUGUUACAGUAGUUACUCUUAGAUUUUGUAGAACAAAGGUAUACUUAAAUUUCUUAUUAAUAGAGUAGUAAAAUUUAUAUAUGGUACAAUCAUCUAAUUUUUUUUUGAUUAUCAGGUGGCUCUUAUCCUUUUACAAAUGAAAUAUUAUUCUUUCUUUUUUAUACUACUGUGAAGACUUUUGGUGAAAAGAACUAUCAACUUAUUACCUCCAUCAUGUAUCCAACAGCCCAAUAGGUCAGUUGUCUCCUUAGUAUACAUUCUAACAUAUCUCAUUCUUUAAUUCAUUGCUAUUCUAUAUUGAAAGAAUAGAAAUUGCUGAACUAUCUUAUAUUUUAAUCAAUUUUCUUUUGCAACCAACUGGCUGACUGACCCCUUGUUCUAUAUUUGUGAUUCUUCUUCUUUUUUUGAUCCUUGAUAAGGAUAUCUAAAAUUUUCCAUGUUCAAAAUACUCUUGUAUCGAUUAGGAAUUUGAUGAAAUAUCUAAUAGCUUAGUUCCUCUUUCUAACUAAGUGAAAGAUUGAUCAGACUAUCUAUUAAUUGAUUUGAUCCCCUAAAUAUUUGUCUGAUCUUUUGCGUACUCUCAAAGCCAACAAGUUACAGUCACUGUCAAUUGCUCUAAUUUGUUUGCAUAACUUUUGCUGGUAAUUUUCCCAUGUUUCCACCAUGAUUUAACUUUGGCAUUGAUCAAUUAACAAAAUGAUAUUUUGGUGUUGAUUAUACUAGGUAUAUUGUUGUUGGUACUGUUGAUUGCUUUGAUUGUCUUUUUCCUUUACGACAUUAUUCAUUCUGCUCACUUGGAUUAUAUUUUCCCCUUAAGGCAUGGUAAAUUCUAGUCACAUGUCUAGAUUAAGUAAGCACUUAAACUUUUGCUUAGUUGAGAUGGGAUUAGGAUAUUCCAUUCUCGUGUUUGGUAUUCUCAAUUAUGUUCACUCCAUGCCACUGAAAAUAAACUUUUCUACUUGUAUUUUUAAGGAAUGGGGUUGAGAAAAGUUUGUCCAGACGUAAAAAUUCAAUUGGUAUAUCUUUCUAUAUUAAUAAAGUGGACAAAUUUUAAGGGUUCCCAUGAAGAAAAGCCAGUCAAUUAGGAAAGGAUGUAGUAUUUUUUUUGAAUCUUAUUAAAUUAGGUGUUUCAAACAUGUAAGUGUAAACAUACAACUUUAUAGUGGAUGUAAGCUGCAAUUGGGAAAUAGCUUGAAUGUUAUGUGUUGAAUUUUUUAAAGAACCAUUAUAAUAUUUCUCGAGUAUUCCCUUAUGUGAGAUGUGAGAACAUAUAUUGUACUUCUUAGAGAUGUCUUCUAGUUUCUUUCAAUUUAAAUUUUUAGUUGACUCCUUAAAAUCUUCUGCUGUAUUCAUGUUUGUCUUGGUUUCUGUUGGUCAUGAUUUACCUUAUACAUGCUCUUAUAACUGGUUUAUUUUUGUCAAUAUAGCUUUAUAGACCUUGGUAUGUAAGACAAAUGCAACCAUCAAUUUUUUAUAAAUAAUUCUUUUAAUAAAUUAAUAACAUUUUACUUUUAUCUAAAUAGCUUUUUGCAAGAAAAUGGACUCCCUCUUGCAGCUUUCUUUUCAUCUCAUCCUUCAACUUGAUGUUCCAAUAACAAAGCCAGUCAUACAAUAAAAGUAAUUAAACUUACACUUUUUCUUUAUCCUUUUCGCCAACUAUUAAAUUUAGGACUCUUCGUCUUUUGUUUAUAACUUAAUUUGAUAAUAUGUUUAAAAAAUAAUAUUCACUAUGUAAUAAUUAUGGAACAAUUCUCCUUUACUUUUUCAAGGUGAUGAUCAUAGGAUUAUCAGGUCAUAGAAGCUAGUCUUUGUUAUCCAGUAUUGUCUUGAAGAAAAUGGUAUUUUUUUAACCAACAAACAAAGUACCAUGCUCUUGUGCCAACAACUUUCAGCUUUAGCACUUUUUGUACCAGCAAAUGCUCAUAUGUAGUACUUUCACAAUCUAGCAAUGUAACAAUGUAAUCUUUGUUCCCCAUAUUAUGAAGCAUAAUCGUCUUAUGUACUAUCAUAAUUUCACCCGUGCAAAUUUAAUUUAAUACUAUGUACCAUGCUCUUGUACCAAUAUAACUUUUAGCUAUGGCACUUGUUGUACCAACAAAUGCUUAUAUGUAAUGUAAUCUUUGUUCCACAUAUUAUGAAGCAUAACUAUUUUAUCUACCAUCAUAUUUUCACCCAUGCAUAGCACGGGCUCGGGCCACCUAGUAUAUAUAUAAGUGAAGCAUGGUGUACUACAAAGGGUAUUUUCAUAAAUAAUACCUAUAAUCAAUAAUGAUGGCUAUGUGGUAAUUAUAUCUCCACGUGUCUUCUCCCUUUGCCUUUUUACUUUCCAAAAUUCAUUGGUACCAUUUUCAUUUUCUCUUUGCUUUUUGCUUUGCUAAAUUCAUUUCUUACGCAUCUUCACAGCAGAAAACACGCUUUAAAGAAAAUCUGUUCUCACCUACUAAAAACUUAUUAAAAUUCCUAUAAAAUUUAUGUAUAUAUAAGUAAGGUUUGUCUAAUUGUAGUGAAUGUUAUCUGGGUUUCGGAAAACUACCCAAAAAAAGGAUUAUGUUGUUUAUCUUUCAAGUGUCUGGUACAAUAUUCUUUCUCUUUUAUUUUCUACAUUUUCUAUAUUUUUAUGGUCAAUUAUGUUAUUUUUUUGAAGUUGUUUGUAUUUUUACUCUUUGUUGUUAUUAUGCAUGUAUUUGGGUUGUAGUUGUAUGUGUUAUCAACAAAGGUUAAACAAGCAGUGAUAUUUUUUCUGAUUUUUCCCAUAAUUGUUCCUUUGGAUUGGUUAUCAGUUGGUUUAACUUACAUUUUUAUUGGCUUUUUGAUCUUCCACAUAUUGAGAUUAUGUUUUUAUAUCAGUUUGUUUUUUAGUUUUAGUGGUUGUUUGUUCUUUGUUUUAGUUUUUGUGGUUGCAUGUGCUGUAAACAAAGACUAAAAAUUUGUAUAUUAUAAGCUUACAUUUUCUUAUUAUUGUAAUUCUUUAAUAUCAUUCAUUAUAACUACGAUUCUUUUCUUAACUAUGACCAGUUAAGUGUAGUUACAUUAGUUUGUCAAGUGAUUUGUGCUUUGCCUUCUUUCACAUAGUUAUUGCUACUAUAUUGUUUAAUUUUAGUGAUUAUACUUUUCCCUUCAUUAAAUGAACAUUCUUUAUUCAAUAUUAACAAUCAAAAUCACAUAAGGUGAGAAAAACUAUAGUAUAAAGGUACACUAUCUAUAGAAUACAGUAAUAUAUUAUACUUUUUUGUUAAAUUCUUAAAUAUGUCAUUGUUUUCUAUCUCGGUAGUUUUCGUUCCUUAUCGCUUUAGGUAGUUCUCCUUACUUAUUAAUCAUUGAAGUUAUCAACUUGUCUAGCCUUUUAAGACUCGAGUUGUAAAUUGUAGUCCACUAGACGUUCAGAUGGAAUUUUAAACUUCGGAUUGACCAAAUGUAAAUGUUUGUUCAACAUUCUUCAAACAGGCUCACCAAGAUAUUAUUUUCAGGACUUGUGUUCUAUACUUAAAACCAAGUCACAAAUGUCUCAACCAAGGGAUUGAAAAGUCAACCUCCUAAGUCUUAGACUGCUAUAUUGGUGUCCUUGGAUAACCAAGGAAUAUGGAAUUUGAGAUCAGCUAUGCUGGAUAAAUAAUAUCUUAGAUAACAAGUGUACCUAAGAGUUUACAACCUAACCCCAAGCUUAGUUAAUGAAUAUAACAUAAAAAAUAAUGCUCUUCUUUAUGGCAAAACUGCUGCUCAACAUCCUUAAUUUGAUGAGUCCUAUAUACAUAGGCUUUUGUUUUACUGGUCAUGAGAGGUUCACUAGGAUAUUGGCUGAAAAUAUAAAUUCCUAACUGGAUGUAAUUGUUAGGAGGAUAGGUUUUACUUCUUUCCUCAUGUUGGUUAUCAAAAAGUAGGAAAUUAAUUGACUUUAGUGAGGGGAAUGAUUCAAGAUAUAGGAGGAAGGAUUUUAGGUCUCAUUUAGAUAAGGUACCUUAAUUAUUAAAACUUUAUGUCUGAACUAGAUACUUUAAUUUCUAUUUAGUUUAUGGGUAGAUUUUAAUAGGUUAAUUGAAAAUAAUGGGGAGGCAUGAUAACGUAAUUCAUUGUCAGUGGUAACAUGUAAUGCUUCUUGUAUCUGAGAUUGGUGUAGGAUAUGUCUCUUCUUUAAACUUGUUUUGGAAUUAUUACUGUAGUAUUGUUGGAUGAGCUUAUGUGAUGCAUUAUUGGUUAAAUACUUCUGAAGCUCUUGUCUUUCUUCUUUACUACAACUUAUAAUAUUUUCAUGUUACUUAAAAUUUUUUGCGUUGCUUGGACUGAAAUUACAAAGAUAUUAGUUGUGGUUGCUCACUAUUACUGAAUUUAAGGUUCUUAGAAGUGAAACACUAUAGCGUGGAACUUUGCAUCAAGAUCAUGAGAAAAUACCAACCUAUAAGAGGAUAAACAAAAGUUAAAAAAACAAAUAAGGAUCACUACAAUAACACAUGGAUUUGGUUACUGCAAAUCUAAGAACAUUGAUUGGAUCAUUGUCUGUCUUUAGGAUAAAAAUUUGAUGAAUUUUAGCUUCCACUGAUCCUUUUGUGGUGGUAAUUUACUUUUCAGCAUGUUUACUAACGAUGUUACAUAGUCUAUCUGGUCUUUACAAGCUAUAUUUUGUUCUUACAUACAUUGGUUAGAUGUCAACUUGCAUAGCGCUUCUUGAUUGCCUUUUUUCUUGUUGCUUUUCUGAGUUUGUUAUUUCUAGAAAUCUUUACCUUCUUUUGUGUUCUUUUACAAUUUUGGCAUUCUAAAAGUAAAUUGACUUGCCAAUAAGAGGUUGUUCAUUUACUUUUAUGGCUAAAAUUCACAAGUUACUUUUGGUUUCUAUAUCUUCUUCCUUGAUAUCAUCUGUGACUUUCACCUUUACUUAUUUAGGGAACAAGUAGUCUUAUUUAUUGUUGCCUUGAAAAGGUUACUGAUAUUAUUUCUCUGGCUUUUAUUGUUAUUUUGGGGUAUUGCAUUGAUGAUUGUACUUUUCUUAAUUUGUAUUAUUUAGCUUAUUAUAUUAAAUAAUCGCCAAAUACGUUAAAGCAAUGUAAUGAUAUCCAAUUAAAUUGUAAAAGUAAUAAUAUUACACAUUAGACUCUAUCCAAGUUGUACAUUUUUAGAUUGAGGAAAAAGUUAGCUCUUUUUUUCUCUUUGUUAAUACCAUUAUAACCGUAUAGAGCCAGUUUUUAAAUAAAGAUGUUGAUAGUCUUCAAUUCUUAUUUGUUCAAUUAAAUUGUAAAAGUAACAAUAUCAUACAUCACACCCUAUGCAGGUUGUACAUUUUGAGAUUGAAGAAAAAGCAAGAUCUUUUUUUCUAUUUGUUAAUACCAUUAUAACCGUAUAGGACCAGUUUUUAAAUAAAGAAUAUUGAUAGUCUUCAAUUCUUAUUUGUUCUCCUUUUUUUGUAGUUGCAGCUUCCAUGCGCGAACUCUCUAUUUGUGCUAUUGUACAAUGUUUCAGUUAGUAGGUAAUUUUUUUGUUACCAGAUUGAAAUUUGUACAGUUGUUUAUAUUUAUCAUUGUAUACUUUCUUUCAUGUUAGUAUGUCUGCGCCUAUGAAAAUCCUAGCUUCACUUGCAUUUUAUUUUCCUGAUACUCUUCUACUUUAACUACCCUUCUAUUAGUAGUCUCUGUUUCUUCUCCAUCUCGAACAACUAAACAUAGGCUAGAAGCUGUAAAAGGAUUUGUUCCUAGUAUAGCUGUAUUCACUCCACCAUUUGUGGUUAGAGGUGUAGGAAAUGCUAGUAUUGCCGACCUUUUUUAGAAUUUGAUUUAAGCCAGUAUAAGUAUAAAAUUCUGGGACUAAGACACUUAUGGGGUGCAUUUGGUUUAGUAGUAGUUUUAUUGUCGGAUUAUACUGGGUAUCUUGUUAUUACUGCUUAACAUUAUCUGAGUUGCUUGGACUAAAAAUUACUAAUAUAUUAGAUGUGGUUUCUCACUAUUACUGAAUUUAAGGUUCUUAGAAGUGAAACACUAAAGUGUGGAACUUUGCAGCAAGAUCACAAGAAAAGACCAACCUAUAAGAGGAUUAAGAAAAGCUAAAAUAACAAAAAAGGAUCACUACAAUAACACAUGAACUUGGUUAUUGUGAAUUUGAGAACAUUGAUUGGAUCAAUGUUUGUCUUUAGGAUAAAAACUAGAUGAAUUUUGGCUUCCACUGAUCCUUUUGUGGUGGUAAUUUACUUUUUAGCAUGUUUGCUAACGAUGUUAUAUAGUCUAUCUGGUCUUACAAGCUGUAUUUUGUUCUUACAUACAUUGGUUAGAUGUCAACUUGUAUAGCUCUUCUUGAUUACCUUUUUUCUUGUUGUUUUUCUGAGUUUGUUAUUUCUAGAAAUCUUUACCUUCUUUGGUGUUCUUUUACAAUUUUGGUAUUCUAAAAGUAAAUUUACUUGCCAACAAGAGUGUGUUCAUUUACUUUUAUGGCUAACAUUCAUAAGUUACUUUUGGUUUCUAUACCUUCUUUCUUGAUAUCAUCUGUGACUUUAAUCUUUACUUAUUCAGAGAACUAGAACAAGUAGUCUUAUUUAUUGUUGCCUUGAAAAGGUUACUAACACUGUUUCUGUGGAUUUUAUUAUUAUUUUGGGGUGUUGCAUUGACGAUUGUGCUUUUGUUAAUUUGUAUUAUUUAGCUUAUUAUAUUAUAAUAAUUGCCAAAUACGUUAAAGCAAUGUAAUGACACUCAAUUAAAUUGUAAAAGUAACAAUAUCACAAAUCAGACUCGAUGCAGGUUGUAAAUUUUGAGAUUGAGGAAAAAGCUAUCUUUUUUUUUCUAUUUAUUAAUACCAUAAUAACCGUAUAGGACCAGGUUUUCAAUAAAGAAUGUUGAUAGUCUUCGAUUCUUAUUUGUUCAAUUAAAUUGUAAAAGUAACAAUAUUACACAUCACACCUAUCCAGGUUGUACAUUUUGAGAUUGAGGAAAAAGUUAGCUCUUUUUUUUUCUAUUUGUUAAUACCACUAUAACCGUAUAGGACCAGUUUUGAAUAAAGAAUGUUGGUAGUCUUCAAUUCUUAUUUGUCUUCCUUUGUUUGCAUGGAUAAAGCUUAAACAUAGAGUGAGAUUUUUCCCUUUUUGGUUCUGUAAUUUCUUCUUCAUACCAAUUAUCAGUUGCAUAAACUUUCGCUUUUAUUGUUUUUUUUUAAUUUUGCAUGUGUUGUUGUUUUAACAAUUUUUCCUUUUUCCUAAAACUUUUAUUUCAACUUGUUCUAAAAAGCUUUGCUGAAUUAUCUUCCUACUGUCCCUUUAGCUGUUUUUGCAUUUGUGGUGGGUUUCCCCCCUUCUUUCAAAUCAAAUUAGAUGUCUUGUUGUUCUAGUUUUUAGUAUUCAAUGCACACUAUGAUGUUAUGUUUCCAAUCACAUAAUGUAAAUUUGUUCUAUUUCAUUUUUAACCCUACUGUCUAAGCAUACACUUUGUAUGUAGGAAUAAGGAAAAUAACAGCCAGGAAAAACUAUAAAUCAAAAAGAUUCUGAAGUCAAAUAUCUAAAAUAAAAAGAAAAAUAAUUGAUUUCCAAAUGGAGAGAAAUUAUUGACAUCGUGUUGCUUACAGAGAAAUGCCAUCUGAAUAAAAAAAGGCACUUCUCAAACAACGAAGAGUGCAAUAUGCUGCCAAAAAGCAGACUACCUCAGAAAAUUCUACUGCUAGGACUUCUAAUCCACCAUCUCCUUCUUUAGAGCCCAAUAAUAUGAUUCUUCCUCAACCUACUCUAUAUAUAUUAGGGAUAAAUCUUCUGCUUCCAGAAAUGGUUGGUUAAAUAAAAUUUCACUUUCACUUCCUAUCACCAUUUAUGUUUAACUUUCACGAAUCUAAAAUAUUAUAGGAUGCAAAGCAACACAAAUGGGUUGCUGGAAUAUCCACCAAUUACCCUGCUCUCCUAUUGUUUUAAAAAAUGUUCCAAACUGUAAAUUUUGUGUAGCCAAAAGAUUUCAAUACAAAACUCCAACCUUUUGUCCUAAAAAUAGUUCCAUAAAUUAGUUUCGCACCAACUACCUCUUGCAUUAAAGCAUUUUUAUUACGGCCACUCUGAAGAAUCUAAAUAUUUUCAUACUUACAUUAGAACAUACAAUAACGUGUUUGCCUUUACCUCACUUGUCAUAAAGUAUGAUAAGGAGUUGGAAAAUAUGACUAAUGGUAUCUACACAUUUAAGGUACAAGGACAAAUGUACUAUUUCUUACCUAGCCUUACUACUGCAGAUAGAACAAAAAAUUUACAACUUUAUUUCUAUGAUAAUGAGAAUGAGAGAGUAAAUAGAAUGACCUUCUAAAAAAAACUAGACAAAUCUGUUAUUGAAAACUUAGUGGAUAUUCUGCAAAUUAAUUGAUAUUUAAGUUUUUGAAAUCUUUAACACAUAUUUCAGAUUUUUCUAAUUUCUAUAUUGCACUUAAAUAUGAUUCUAGCUUAGAUCAACGAACAUACAACUUACCCAAUGUAUCAGAAAUAGCAGCUAUAUGGACUGACAAAGAAUUGAAUAGUCUUAUUUCCACACCACAUAUUCGUGUUCACACACAUAGUAAAGUAGCCAAUUGGUUCACUAUUACUAUGGUUUCUAUGACUCCUUACAAUACCCUUUCUUAUUUCCAUAUGGUGAAAAUGGAAGGAAUUGUGGCAUACAAAAGAUUUUGCAACCAAAUAAUUCUUUUAGAAAUCAUUCUUCUUGCAAAUAUGAACAACAUUAACUUGUCACAAACAUGUCUUCCAUUUAUGGAUACCUUAAUAUUGAAGGCCGGUAUAAAAUAAUUUCAGAGAUAAGAUAUUUCAGGAUUAAGCCUAAGAUAAAAGUUUAUAUUGUAUAUGAUUUGACUGUAUAAACUUUUUCAGAUUUAAUCUUGAAAUAUUUGACCUUAUUCUCCUACCAAGCAACUCUUUAGUCGUUUGUCCAUAGAUAAUAUUUGAUUUUAAAAAAAAGUUUUUGUGUCAUAUGUUUGAUCUAUUAUUUCAACUUUAAUAUGAAGUCAAAACAUGAAGUUUUAAAAAAAUGGUUAGAAAAGUAUUUUUCAAGUGAAAUAUAGUUAUUUAUUUUAUGUCUCUCUAGCCCUUACCCCCACCCUAAAUGAAGCUGAGUUUUGGAAUAACCGAUAAAGUUGUGCAAGAAAUUGUCAGUUACCCACUUGACCUUAUUUUUUUUUAUGUUCAGAAAAAAGUACCCCUUAAUUAGUUAGACUAGGGUGACAACAACUUAUCAUAGAUAAAAAAGUUGUUGACCAAGUGAAAGAUCUGUCACUAUCUUUGAAAAAAAUGUGAUAUUUGAAAAGAAAUAAAAAACUUAAAAAAUAAUAUUUGAAAAUUAAGAUUGUUAUUGGGAAAAAGUUGAAAUUUCUAGGUGUAAAAAGGUCACUUGAUUAAACCACUUGGAAGGGUAGGUUAUACGUAAAUUUUAUCCUAUUAUUGUGGGGUAAAGAGAUUAUUUUUGAUAAAGCGUCAAACUCAAAAUAAAUACCUCAAAGUAGGAUUACAAGAAAAAUAUGACAAUAAAAUAACAAGAUAUAACGCAAACAGAGUAAUUGAUAGUAAUACACAUUAAUUAAAAUAUAUGAGACUAUGCGAUUACUAAUUAAUACUAUUAAUAGGAGAGGACGGUUUACGCAGCCAUACUCUUAUCUUGUGAAGAUAGAGAAAUUAUUUUUGAUAGACCCUUGACUCGAAUAAGCAUAUUAAAAAUCAAGUAUGUAAAACAAAUGCAAUAACAAAGAUGCGAAGAAGAAAAUAACUACAAAGAGAACAAGUAGAAACAAAACAGAUAAUAUGAUAACUGAAGUAAAGAAAACAACAAUUACUCAUAUGAGAACUAGACAACGUUCGACCACUUGCUAACUUCUACCCUAAUCUUUGAUCUUUUAUUUUUUUAUUUAAGAGUCAUGUCCUCGAUAAACUGUAGGCAUGUGUUGUCCUAUAUGUUACCUCUCCUAAGACUUCUUCAACUUACCUAUACCUUUCAUUAUAUCCACUAUAGUCAACCUUCAUACCUUCUUCUCAUUGGGGCAUCCGUACAUCUUCUUUUCACAUGCCUGAGCUAUUUCAGUCUCAAAUCUCUUAUCUUCAACCACCCUGGAGGCCACUCCCAUCCUAUCCCGAAUAUUUUUGUCCAGAUCAUGUCCUUCCUAGUAUGACUAUACAUCCAUUGAAACAUUCUUAUUUUUAUUACACUUUCGUGAGGGUGCAUACCCUUUCUUAUUUCCAUAUGGUGAAAAUGGAAGGAAUUGUGGCAUACAAAAGAUUUUGCAACCAAAUAAUUCUUUUAGAAAUCAUUCUUCUUGCAAAUAUGAACAACAUUAACUUGUCACAAACAUGUCUUCCAUUUAUGGAUACCUUAAUAUUGAAGAAGGAAUUUUACAAAAAAAAUGACCAAAAAAAGAACACUGUUUCCUAUUGUGAAUAUUAUUUUUACAAACUUCAAAUUAGAGUGAAACACCCUGCAUUUUGGGCUAAAAUGAAAAUUGUCUUUUCUAUAUAUAGAUAUUCCAAAAAUCAUAAAUCCUAUGCAAAUUUGGUAUGUUAAUCAAUUAUGUAGUGUGGGAACCUCUUUGAGCAUAAAUUGAGGUCGUAGAGAUCCCCUAACUCAAGGUCAAGUUGAAAGCUUUCCUAUUGUUCGAGUUUUAGUGAGUGUCGAAACUUGAGUCAACUUUAAUUGAACAUAACUCCUUGUAUAUGAUGUACUGGUUGGCCUAUUAUAUAUCAAAUGAAAUCUCUUCUAAUUAUCUUUCCAAAGAUAUAAAUUUUUCCUAAAUCCGAUAGCGGAGAAAAAAGUUAUGCCCAUUUUACUCCAGCAUGUCAGCCUGGAAAACUGAGUGAUGAUAUUUCUGAUAACUUAUCCUGUUUAUGAUAGCUUAUAACAAAAUGUCAUCAGCCUUAGGAAGAAAUCCAUAAAUUCCAGCCCCAAGUGAUGACAUUUGUGAUGACAUAUCACAAGUCUGAUGGCUUAUCACAAAAUGUCGUCAAGCUUAGGCAAAAACCCAUAAAAUCCAACUCCCAAGUGACAACAUUUGUGACGACUUAUUACAAGUCUGACAGCUUAUCACAAAUAUCAUCAGUCGAGAUUUUCAGCAAUUGGGAAGCAUUUUAGUAAGGGUAUUUUGGAAUUUCCUUCACAUCCCACGACCUAAAUAAUCAAAAUCAUGUACUUAAACAUCAUAAAUCAGUUUAAACAACCCUUAAUCCUCUUUAUUAACAAGAAAAAUAUUUGGGUUUCCUCUUAAGAUCAUCUUCCAAGAAAUUCAAAACUCCAUUACUCCUUCUUCAAGAUAAUAAAGAAUCUAAGAUUUCUAAUCCAAUAAGUUCAAGAAAGUUCCCAAGAACAUCAAAUUAAGGUCAUCCUCUUCAAGAAAGAAACCAAUAGUUUAGCAUCACAAUCCAAGAAUCUCAAAAAAGCUUUCAAGAUCAUCUCCUAGGGUUUCAAGGUCAAGUUCUCUACAUCAAAUCAAGUCUAUUAAGCUAUGUGAUUUUGAACAAGAAAACCCAUUUGUUCUUGUGCCCAAAAGUUACAUAUUUUCCUAAAGUAUUUCGUAAAUUCAUGGAGAAUUCCUAUCAUGUUAUUAUAUGGUGAGUAUUUUUAUGAAACUAUGUCUUAACCAAGCUUUGAGUUGUAAUAUUAUUAUGCAUAUUAAUGUUUUAAAUUGUCAAUUUAUGAUUUAAGUUGCAUAAUUCAACGUCUAUAUCUUGUUUUGAGAAUUUCAAGUCCUAUUGUUGUGAAUUGAACCUUAUGGUUAAAGCAUGAGUUUGUGAAUGGGAUGUUAGUGAUUUUUGUAAGAAUAUCAAGAAGUGAGUUUUGAUUGUAAGUUAAGAUAGAAAUCCACAUUCUUGUGUUGAAGUAAAGGGGAUGCAUUUUGGCUAUAUUUGAAUUGUUUUAAGGUGGAUUUUCUAAAGUUCUGAGCUAAGUAAAGGAGUAGUAUUUAGCACCGAGUUAGGCAUGAUUCCGAGGUCUCAUGCCCCAAAACUACGUGACCCCGUAGGUUCUUAAUAUACCCUAAGUGGGUUAAGUAGUGAUUACUAUAGUUAAGGUUCUAUCCGAUGGCAAGGAUAGAACAACUCUCCCUAAUGUAGGUAAGGCAUUGGACUUCAUGUAGAUCACAUGGUUUAUGUCGGUUAGAAGAAACUCCCAAAGUAGUCCCCCACUCUAUCUAAGAUACAAGUAUAUGUAUUUUGAAAGUUAUGAGUCCCAGAUUUCUAAGGCUCUCAAGUGUCAAAAUCUUUAAGUUUCCAAAGAAGUUCCUAGUUUUCAUAAGAUUAAAGUGAAUGCUCUGAAAAAUGUUGUUUUAUGACUUUAUCUAUAUUACAAGUUUGAGAAUAAAGAAAGAAUGUAGAUUUAGAAUGAAGUGCAAUGACUCACAUGAUUUAUAUUACCUGUUUUCUUAUUCAUGAUUAUGAUGGUUUUAAUUCAAGCUAUGUGAGUCAUCUAUACUAGCAUUCAUGUUUUCUAUAAGGAUUUAUGAUAUUGAUUAUUUAAUUGCAUACACCCCCAUUACUUAGUAAAUUCCCAAAGUGCUGAUCCAUAAAUACGUCUAUGUGCUACAUUGUCUCAUAAUGUAGGUACAAGACUUAGUAUGCCAAUUCAGAUUCAGUCAGCUCCCAACUUCCAGCCAGCAGUUGAUGAAUCCUUUUGAUUCAAGGGUUUGAGCCAGAUAGAUAGUUGGAGCAGUUAUUUAUUUUCCUAUUUUAGUCGUAUUGAGUUGGGAUAGUUGGGAGUCAUGACCCGACUAUCUAAAGUCAGUACUAGUAGAGGUUUCAUAGACAGUCAGUAGAGUUAAUGUAUUCAGUUUCAGUUUUAUUUUGGUAAAAGCAGAGUUAUAAUCUUGUAAUGUUCAGAUUUUUGUUGAUCAAGUUCAAAAUACUUUUAUGUUCUCGCUUAUUUUAUAAAGAUUUAAGCAUUUUAUUCAGUUGCUUAUGAGUUAUGCCAGUAGAAGGAUUAGCUUGGGGUCAUUAUGAUCCUAAGCAUCGUGUGACGACUUGGGACUUGAUUUUGGGGCGUUACAAACUUAGUAUCAAAGCAUAGAGUUCAAGUGUCCUAGAGUGUCUGUGAAGCUGUGUCUAGUAGAGCCUUGCGGAAUGGUACGGAGAAAUCUAUACUCUUCUUCGAGAGGCUACAAGGAACUUAGGAAAUGUCUUCAUUCUUUCAAGUCUCAGAUCGUGCUAUAGAAAUGUUCUUUAAGAAAUUUAUACAGAUUCUCAUCUUACUCUAUCCGAGCCAUCUCUGCCUUAUGUUCAAGGUAUCAAAAAUAGUCAAGCUUAAAUCUUUACUGAUAGUUCUUUCUUAGAUAGUCUCCACAGAUAGUUAUCGGAUUGUAAGUGAGCUAGAAAGUAUCCCAUCAGUGCUUUUGAGUUUCGAUGACUGAAGUGCUCUAUUUAUGAUUCAUAAAAGUCGUGCACUAAGCCCAAGUCAGAUGUACUUCCAGAUUCCCCCUCAGAAUCUAUAAUGUAAGUCUAUACUUCCCUAUCCAUGUAUUAUUCUUGAGAUAACAUGAUUAGUAAGUUCCAGUUCCUCCCUAGAUAACACUCUCAGAUUGUUUAGCAAGAAGGUUCAGAAGUCACACAAAGCGGCUUGAGAGUAGCAUUCUAGUGUGUUAUUAGACUCUCAAGAUCAGAGUUAUGUCCUCACUCUUAUGAGUCAUGCAAGUAAGACAAAACAAGAUGUGUAUUCUUAGAUCAUUGAAUAUUAUGUGUCAAGCUUCUAUCUCUUGUAACCUUGUUAUCAUUGUUUUGUUGAAAAAUCAAAGUCUAGUGAAGCCGUGUGAGACCUAUUUUGAUUUACUAGGAACUUGUUGUGUAUCUUGUUAUUUUUGUGUUGGUUGAAACUUAUAGAGAUACGAAAGAAGUUUAGGUGUAUAGACAGGUGGAUAGUAAUGAUGUGUAGAAGUAGGAUAUGGUAAUGGAUUGUAAAUAAGAUAGGCCAUAUGUUUAUGAUCGAUUAUUGUUAUUAUGAGGUUAAGUGGG
rnacentral:lncRNA from 1 species